rnacentral:lncRNA from 1 species
CGCGCCGGCCCAAUAAAUUAGCCAUCCAUCUCUUGUCGUUGUCAUGAACAAUCUGGGCUUGUAUUGUGUGGUACUCUGUUUUUUCUUGCGGGUGCGUGUGGUACUCUUUGGACCAUGUAUAUUUACCGUUUUCUCUCUUCGUUGUAUUUAUUGGUUAUGUGUGAGAUCCAUGGCAGCGGGCGCGUAGUGUGAAGUACCUGUGGCUGCAAGCAAGGUUUUUUUUCUUUUUCGGGUAACGUUUCUUUUUCUUUUGCAGAUGUAAGUGUGUGCAUUAGUGCAUGACAUUGUGUGAUAGACGUCCAUGUCGCAGCCGCGAAGUGCAUGAAUAGAGGAUGAAAACCGGCCGGGCCAGACGGGCUUGCAGAUCGAGUCCGGAAAAGCGUACACAUGCACGCACCGCAUCCAUGAUGUAAUCCUACAUGAAGAUACUAAACCCUAGGUGAAGAUACUAUUUUUUGUGAGUAGAAAUGGAGUUUAUUCCAUAGUGAUAGGAUUACAGUGUGCCAUUACAAAAGUGUCAAUGAAAGUAGGGCCCUGAUGUAGCCAACUAGUCAGGCUACCUCAAUGCGACCCAAGUUAGCAAGCGAGCAACCCUAUCCUGAACGUGCUAUUUUUUUUCCAAGAGCACGCAAAGCACGUGCCUUACUUCUAUACUCCCUCCGUCCGAAAAUACUUGUCAUCAAAAUGGAUAAAAAAUGAUGUAUCUAGAACUAAUAUACAUCUAGAUACGUUCCCUUUUAUUCAUUUUGAUGAUAAGUAUUUCCGGACGGAGGGAGUAGAAGGGAGCAAAACAAUUUACAAGAGGUCUAGCGAGCGCGAACACUCGAAGACAACACCCACCACCACUCCUACAAUGAACCCAAAACUAAUCUCUCACAAAACGUUGUAAGCUACCUCCUCCUUGGACCACCAUCUUCCAAUCUCUGAGUUCAUCAAGAAUCUUCUUCGCGAGUUCCUAUGCAUCCACCCGUUGAGGGCCUGCUCCUCCAUCCACCCGUUGAGGGCCUGCUCCUCCUUGACAUGGCCAAAGAAAGCUAUCAGACGCCUGUUCAUCCUGAUGCACGGUGGCAAUGGCGUGUCUCAAGUGCAUGAGCUGAAUAAACGCCAUGUGUGAGGAGACGAAGGGGACGUCCAGUGACGAUUGCUCCUCCUCUAAAGCCCAUUGAACGGUCCUACGUUCAUUUUCGAGAUGGUACGAACGUGCUAUUUUGACAUGAACAAACUCCCGAUCCUCCAUUAGUAUCUUGAUUUUAUUAACCAGGUAACGUCUAGCCAGUGUAGAAUCAAAUAAAGCCGAUAGAACAAUGACUUAGGAGGUUUGACCAUUGUAGGGCUAAACCAAUGCCACCCAUCAAUGCAUGAAUCUCCGAUUCCAGCGCAUCAUUACUAUGGAAAAGGUGUCGACGGGACGCAAAGACAGCGCCUCCAUCUGCAUUUCUGAGUAAUAUACCAGCUCCAGCCAUGUCGCCAGCCUCAGAGAAUGAGCCAUCAGAUGAAAGAGCCGCCAAUUCGUCGGUGGUGGGGGCACAAUGGUUCGGGUACUUUGACUAUUGUCUUUUGACAAGAGGGCAUCCUGGCGAUAGGGUCUUCCCCUUGUUAAUCUCGUUUGUGCUCACUUGAUGUACAUAGUGUAGUGAAUACAAGUAGCUACUUCCUCCGUCCGGGAAUACUUGUCAUCAAAAUGAAUAAAAAGGGAUGUAUCUAGAAUUAAAUAUAAUUCUAGAUACAUCCCUUUUUAUUCAUUUUGAUGACAAAUAUUUCCGGACGAAGGUGGUACUUAAGAAUUUUUUGGAGGCUUCAGGAGAUGGAAUUGUUUUACUAUAGACUAGGUUUGUACGAAGGCUCCACAUACGCCAAAUGAGCAUUAUGAUUAUGUCUCGAACCUUGCUAUAGAUUUCCCACCAACAAGUGUAAUAUCCAUUCGUCACCAGUGUGGAGGACUUGCUCUUUGGGAGCUGUCGGCGUAUAAAGUUUGGACCUUUCUUAGUAUUUCAUGCUUGUGCAUGGGCACUUGCAGCCUCACCCGCGGCAAGGCUUGACAGGGACAGCUGGAAGCAAAUGUGAGACGACCAAGACGGCGUUCAGGCCAAUAAAUAAAGAACAGAAGACAAGCUGAGCCCCCGGCAAGAUUCUUGCCGGGAUGGUCUGCGAAGCACAAGCAAGACCAUCACCCUUGAAGUUGAGAGCUCUGACAUCAUCGACGAUGUCAAGACCAAGAUCCAGAGGCGUCUGCAUGGUGACAUGCAGAAUUUUUUGAAGACCAGGAGGCAACGUCCCUAGCAAGGUUCUUGAAGGGAACGUUUGCGAAGCCCCGGCAAGAUCCUUGCCGGGGACGUUCACGGGCCCACAGCGAAGCUCGCGCACGGCAAGGUUCCGCCGCCCUGCCACCGAUCUAGCACAGCAACCAGCAUGCCAGCUUGGCAAGCACCUGCGUGGUGGCAUGCAGAUCUUCGUGAAGAUCCUGCCACCGCUCCAACGCAGUGGCUAGCCAGUCAGCUUGGCAUUGCAUGCCUCAUCAUCUUGGGUGCGUGCCAAGACGGGGUGAGGUGGCGACGGACGGGACGGGCUCUGUUUCCGUCCCCGAUCAAGUUAGGGGGCACGUAAGAGUGCAUUUAAUGUGUUUGUCCUAAGACGUUAGUGAUAAGCACGGACACUGUUGCAACUUUACACCUCUUGUGUGCUUGAUCGCCACUUUGGUAGCCCCUUUGUAUAAAAGGAGGCCCAAAGCGAUACAGGAGGGGACUUUUGGACUUUUCCGGCCCAGUUUGCACGCGUAGCAACUAGCCGAAGCUCAAGAACACUGAAUACACUCAAAGCAGGACUAGGGUUUUACGCUUCUCAGAGGCCCGAACCUAGUUAAAAAUCUAUCGUGUUGAUCGUUAGAUCUACUCUUUGUGCACCCCUCUUUCCCUGCCAGAUCAUAGAAGGGAUCCACGAGAUCCCAUAGGUGUCGUUUCCCCGACAUCUUUCGCGCGCCAAGUAGGGGGAAGAGGUUGUGCAAACCUGAUCUAGUAGUUUAGCGCGUUAGUUCCUCAAGAUCUUCAUCGUCAUGCUUCCCAAGAAGAAGGGCAUCACGGCGAUUGGUUCCUAUGCGGCCGAUCUGCCUGUGCUGACAUGCGCGGGCGACGGGAUGGACACGGGUGGAGGAGGAGGUGGAGAUCGCGACCUUCCGCGACAUUCUGGCGACCGGAGACAGGCGAGCGGUAUCGUCCGUGGCCACGACGACGGCCCGCACACCGCUGGAUCCAAGGACAGAGCCGUGCUGCCUACGGGCGGCGCAGCGACCUCCAAGGGUGGAAAGGCAACCUCCAAGACACCCCUGCCGGCGUAUGCGCCGCGUCCUUCCUAGGUCGUGCACGACGAGCAGCGCCGCACCGUUGGUGACCCCAGGCAUCACCAUGGAAAGAGCUCUCGGCAUCAUUACCGAGAUGUGCGAGGCCAGCAUGCACGCCACGACACCGGCGGGAGCGGCGCGUGGCUGCAAGACCGUGACGGAGCUCCUUCCAACAUAGUUAGGAGUCAGAGCACCUCUCGUUCUUCGGCCUGUCGUUGCCGCCUACGCUAGCAGAAGCAUUGGCACGAGUGAAGCUACUCCUAGACUUUCCUCCUGCUCCGAAAAGGCUCGAAGAGUGGAGAGCUGGUAUUCAGAGCCUCCUCGGUUUCAUCGACGGAGAUGGGCCACAGUAGGCGGAGCCCUUGAGGGAGUCCUAGAUUAAAGGGUCCUCGGAUAGCCGGACUAUUAACAUGGGCUGGACUGUUGGGCUGCGAAGAUACAAGAUAGAAGACUUCUUCCCGUGUCCGGAUGGGACUCUCCUUUGCAUGGAAGGCAAGCUUGGCGACUCAGAUAUGUAGAUUCCUUUCUCUGUAACCGACUUUGUGUAACCCUAGCCCCCUCCGGUGUCUAUAUAAACCAGAGGGUUUAGUCCGUAGAGGCAACAACGAUCAUAAUCAUAGGCUAGACUUCUAGGGUUUUAGCCAUUACGAUCUCGUGGUAGAUCAACUCUUGUAAUACUCAUAUUCAUCAAGAUCAAUCAAGCAGGAAGUAGGGUAUUACCUCCAUAGAGAGGGCCCGAACCUGGCUAAACAUUGUGUCCUCCGCCUCCUAUUACCAUCAGCCUUAGACGCACAGUUCGGGAACCCCUACCCGAGAUCCGCCGGUUUUGACACCGACAUUGGUGCUUUCAUUGAGAGUUCCACUUCGUCGUCAUCAGAAGGCUUGAUGGCUCCAUCAAUCAUCUACAACAACACGGUCCAGGAGGAGAUCUUCCUCUCUGGACAGUUUUCAUAUUCGGCGGCUUCGCACUGCGGGCCAACUCACUUGGCCAUCUAGAGCAGACCGAUAGCUACGCCAUGAUACGUCUCCGUCGUAUCUAAUUUUCCAAACACUUUUGCCCUUGUUUUCGACUCUAACUUGCAAGAUUUGAAUGGAACUAACCCGGACUGACGCUGUUUUCAGCAGAACUGCCAUCGUGUUAUUUUUGUGCAGAACUAAAAGUUCUUGGAAUGACCUGAAAAUCCAUGGAGCAACCUUUUGGAAUUAAUAAAAAAUACUAGCGAAAGAAUCAGCACCAGGGGGCCCACACCCUGUCCACGAGGGUGGGGACGCCCCCCAAGGGCACGCCCCCCUGCCUCGUGGGCCCCCUAAAGCUCCACCGACGUCAACUCCAACUCCAUAUAUUCACGUUCGGGGAGAAAAGAGUCAGAGAGAAAGAUUCAUCGUGUUUUACAAUACGGAGCUUCUGCCAAGGCCUAAUCUCUCUCGGGAGGGCUGGUCUGGAGUCCGUUCAGGGCUCCGGAGAGGGGAAUCCGUCGCCGUCGUCAUCAUCAACCUUCCUCCAUCACCAAUUUCAUGAUGCUCACCGCUGUGUGUGAGUAAUUCAUCAUAGGCUUGCUGGACGGUGAUGGGUUGGAUGAGAUUUACCAUGUAAUUAAGUUAGUUUUGUUAGGGUUUGAUCCCUAGUAUCCACUAUGUUCAUGAAUAUAUGUGAGUUCUUGAUCCUAUCUUGCAAGUCUAUAGUCACCUAUUAUGUUUUAGCAUCCACUCGAGUGCCAUGAUUUGAGAUGUGAACCUAUUAUGUUUUCAUGAAUAUAUGUGAGUUCUUGAUCCUAUCUUGCAAGUCUAUAGUCACCUAUUAUGUGUUAUGAUCCGACAGCCCCGAAGUGACAAUAAUCGGGAUCACUCUCGGUGAUGAUCAUAGUUUGAGGAGUUCAUGUAUUCACUAAGUGCUAAUGCUUUGGUCCGGUACUCUAUUAAAAGGAGGCCUUAAUAUCCCUUAGUUUCCAAUAGGACCCCACUGCCACGGGAGGGUAGGACAAGAGAUGUCAUGCUAGUUCUUUUCCAUAAGCACGUAUGACUAUAUUCGGAAUACAUGCCUACAUUACAUUGAUGAACUGGAGCUAGCUCUGUGUCACCCUAUGUUAUAACUAUUACAUGAGGAAUCGCAUCCAACAUAAUUAUCCAUCACUGAUCCAAUGCCUACGAGCUUUUCACAUAUUGAUCUUUGCUUAGUUACUUUACCGUUGCCAUUGUUACAAUUACUACAAAAUUGCUACUAUUACUUUUGCUGCCGUUACUGUUACUUCCAUACUACUUUGCUACUAAAUACUUUGCUGUAGAUACUAAGUUAUCCAGGUGUGGUUGAAUUGACAACUCAACUGCUAAUACUUGAGAAUAUUCUUUGGCUCCCCUUGUGUCGAAUCAAUAAAUUUGGGUUCAAUACUCUACCCUCGAAAACUAUUGCGAUCCCCUAUACUUGUGGGUUAUCAAGACUAUUUUCUGGCACUGUUGCCGGGGAGCAUAGCUCUAUUCUUUGAGUCAUUUGGGAUCUAUAUCUGCUGAUCACUAUGAGGAACUUGGAAGACGAAAGAACUAAGAUUUUUCCCUCAAGUACGAGGGAAGGUAAGGAACUGCCAUCUAGCUCUGUACUUGAUUCUCCUUCUGUUUUGAGUAAGCUUGCGACACCUAAACCUGCUUCUGCUAUUAAUUCUGAUAUGUCGCAUGUUAUUGAUGAUGCCACUUCUGCUAUGCAUGAUACUUAUGAUGAAACUACUUCUAUGCUUGAUACUACUGUGCCAUUAGGUGAAUUUCUUGAUGAACAACUUGCUAGGGCUAGAGAGAAUGAAAUUAUUGAUGAAAGUGAUGAUGAAGGUUCUCCCCCUAAAUAUGAAUUGCCUGUUGUUCCUGAGGGUUAUGUUAUGGAUGAAGAAACUGCUAGAGAUUUUCUUGGUUGCAAUGAUAGAUCUGAUCUCAAGAAGUUAUUAGCCAAGCUGAAACAAAAGUCUCUGAAUGCUUGAAUGAAAUAUGACUCUGCCUUUUCUACUUCACAUAUCUAUGUUACUGAUAAGGAUUAUGGUUUCCCUGUCGAUCCUGAGAUAAUUACUUUGGUUGAAUCUGAUCCUUUUUAUGGCUAUGAAUCUGAAACUGUUGUGGCGCAUCUUACUAAAUUGAAUGAUAUAGCCACCCUAUUCACUAAUGAUGAGAAAACUCGCUACUACUAUAUCCUUAAGAUAUUUCCGUUCUCAUUAAAGGGUGAUGCUAAAACAUGGUUUAAUUCUCUUGAUCCUGGUUGUGUGCGUAGUCCCCAGGAUAUGAUUUAUUACUUCUCUGCUAAAUAUUUCCCCACUCAUAAGAAACAAGCUGCCUUAAGGGAAAUAUAUAAUUUUGUGCAAAUUGAAGAAGAGAGUCUCCCACAAGCUUGGGGGAGGCUUCUCCGAUUACUUAAUGCUUUGCCUGAUCAUCCUCUCAAGAAAAAUGAAAUACUUGAUAUCUUUUAUGAUGGACUAACCGAUGCUUCUAGAGACCACCUGGAUAGAUGUGCUGGUUGUGUUUUUAAGGAAAGAACUGUUGAUCAAGCUGAAUUGCUAUUGAAUAAUAUGUUGACUAAUGAAAAUAAUUGGACACUUCCUGAAACAACUCCUAAGCCAACUCCGAAGAAAAGAGGUGUUCUAUUUCUCAGUCCAGAAGAUAUGCAAGAGGCAAAGAAAUCUAUGAAAGAAAAAGGUAUUAAAGUUGAAGAUGUUAAUAAUUUACCUCCUGUUGAAGAAAUACAUGGCCUUGAUAACCCGACACAGGUAGUAAAGGUAAAUUCUCUUUAUACAAAUGAUAAAGUUUAAAUCCCGUCUACUAAGUUUGCUAACCAAUGCUUGGAUGAAUUUGAUGACUUUAUGACUAGACAAGAAAACUUCAAUGCUUAUGUUGGUAGACAUUUGAAAAGUAAUGCUUAUAUGAUUGGACACUGGAGUGAUUAUAUGUCUAGAGUUAAGGGUGAACUUAAACUCAUUAGUAAACAUGCUUCCAUGGUUACCACUCAAGUAGAACAAGUACUUAAAGCUCAAAAUGAUUUGCUCAAUGAAUUGAAUAAUAAACAUGACUUUGCUGUUAGAGUAGCAACUAGAACAGGUAAAAUGACUCAGGAAGCUUUGUAUCCUGAGGGCCACCCUAAGAGAAUUGAGCAAGAUUCUCAGAGAAAUAAUGUUGAUGCACCUAGUGCUUCUAGGAAGAAGAAGAAAAAUGAUAGGACUUUGCACACUUCUAGUGAACCGGUUGUAGACACACCUGAGAAUCCCAAUGAUAUUUCUAUUUUUGACGCUGAAACACAAUCUGGUGAUGAACAUGAACCUAGUGAUAAUGUUAAUGAUAAUGUUCAUGUUGAUGCUCAACCUAGCAAUAACAAUGAAGUAGAGAUUGAACCUGCUGUUGAUCUUGAUAACCCACAAUCAAAGAAUCAAUGUUAUGAUCAGAGAGACUUCGUUGCUAGGAAGCACGGUAAAGAAAGAGAACCAUGGGUGCAGAAACCCAUGCCUUUUCCUCCUAAACCAUCCAAGAAAAAGGAUGAUGAGGAUUUUGAGCGCUUUAAUGAAAUGAUUAGACCUAUCUUUUUGCGUAUGCGUUUGACUGAUAUGCUUAAAGUGAAUCCUUAUGCUAAGUACAUGAAAGAUAUUGUUCCAAAUAAAAGAAAGAUACCGGAAGCUGAAAUUUCCACCAUGCUUGCUAAUUAUACAUUUAAGGGUGGAAUAGCAAGGAAACUUGGAGAUCCAGGAGUACCCACUAUACCAUGCUCCAUUAAAAGAAACUAUGUUAAAACUGCUUUAUGUGAUCUUGGAGCCGGUGUUAGUGUGAUGCCUCUCUCUUUAUAUCGUAGACUUGAAUUGAAUAAGUUGAGACCUACUGAAAUAUCUUUGCAAAUGACCGAUAAAUCAACCGCUAUACAUGCCGUAUUUGUGAAGAUGUGCCUGUUGUGGUUGCAAACGUUACUAUCUUAACAGACUUUGUUAUUAUUGAUAUUCACGAGCACAAUAGUAUGUCGAUUAUCCUUGGUACGUAGACCCUUUUUGAAUACUGCAGGGGCUGUUAUUUAUUGCAACAAAGGCAAUGUCACUUUUCAUGUUAAUGGUAAUGAGCAUACGGUACACUUUCCGAGGAAACAACCUCAAGUUCAUAGUAUCAAUUCUAUUGGAAAAAUUCCAUCGAUUAUUAUUGGAGAUUUAGAAUUUCCUCUUCCUACUGUCAAGAAGACAUAUGAUAUUCUUAUAAUUGGUGAUGUGCAUAUCCCCGUUGAGGUAACCUAGUGUUAUUCGAAAUUUCUCCGGUUCCAUGUUAUUCGGAAUGAGUUUGUUAACAAGACUUGAUCAACCUUGUUAGUGGAUUCCUUUUGAUGAGCAUGAGAUGGAUGAAGUUAGAAAGCAAAACCUUCUGUACCCUCCUUUUACUUUCAAUUAUUUAUAUUAAGUACAGCAAAAAUAGUAUUUCUGUCUCUUUUCUGAUUUAUCCGUGCAAUAAAAAAAUACCCCGAAAAUAAAAGUUUUCCAAAUGCCCUGAAAAUUUAAUAUGAUUUUUUCUGGAAUAUUUGGGAAUAUGUGGCACUGAGAACACAGUAGGGGGAGCAAGCACCUGGCCACGAGGGUCCAGGGCACGCCCAACCCCAUGGGGCGCGCCCCCUGCCUCGUGGGCCCAUGGUGGCCCCCUCCACUUAUUCCUGCACCCACACACUUCUUCUUCCUCCCAAAAAAUCACUAUCCAGCUCAAGCACAAGUUCUAGCUCAUCUUGCUGCCAUUUUCGAUCUCCUUGCUCAAAACUCCAUUCACAAAACUACUUUGGGGGAUUGUUCUUUGGUAUGUGACUCCUCCAAUGGUCCAAUUAGUUUUUGUUCUAGUACUUUAUUCAUUGCAAUUUUUGCUGCUAAGGUGAUCCUGUUAUUGAGCUUGCAUGUCAAAUUUAUAUGGUCCCAAGUAGUUCCAAUGCAUGAUAUAGUCUCUAGGCACUUGUGGGAGUAGUUGCUAUCAAUUUUGCUGAGUUUGGUUCACUUUUAGUUUGAGUUACUAAGAAUUUCAGAAAUUUUCAGAAAAUGAUGAAGAGAUUUUUGAGGGGCUCUUCGAGCCAAAGCUUGAAGGAUAAACAAGCCAAGGAGAAUAAAAAUCCAAAGUAUAAUCUCCCUCGUGUUGCGGAAGUUCGGUCGUGUGAAUGGCCUUGUGAUGAGUUCUUGAGAGCGGCUGGGAUUCAUGAUGAUUUUUAUUCUUUGGCUGAGAAUGCAGGCCUCACCGACUUCCUCCACGACCAGCUCGAUCAGUAUCUCCUACUCACUAAUACUUUCGUGCAAAAUUUUUACUUUCAUACUAAAAAAUCACCACCUUCCGUGGAGUUUCAUCUAUAUGAUGAGAUUAGGGAGAUGUCACUAUGUGAAUUUUGUGCGGUUUGCAAGAUACCCUUCGGGGGUAGCAUAGAGGAACCACAUCGUAGAGAUGUGGAUGGAUUUAUUGAUAUGAUUACUGUAGGGGAAACGAGGAAGAUUUCUAAUGCAAGAAUUACUAGCAUACACUUUCCUGUUCUACGUUACUUUGCAAUAUUUGCUAGUAGAUGCUUAAUUGGCUGCGGGAACUGUGGAAACCUUAGUGUUCCUGAUAUUGUUAUUUUGUGCCAUGCUUUAUUUUGGGAUAACACUAUUAGUUUAGGCGCUAUUGUUGCUAAACGAUUAAGUCUGAACCGUACAAAGGGCCCAUCUUUGGAGGUAUCUAUGCUUCACGCCUUGCUAAACACUUCAGGAUACCUAUUAGGCAUUAUGAGAAAGAGGAAAAGUUGUUGCCCCCUACUUUUCUAGAUUACAAGAGUAUGUUAGCACAUGAGUUUAUUGUUAAAAAUGAUGAGAAGAUGCUUAAGUAUAAUUUUAGAUUUCAUAAAACUCAUAGUGAGACUACUAUCUUGCCUGCACCCUCUUUGUUUGACUUAUCUUCAGGCACAUUUCUCAUCUUGCCGGAGGCUGUUUACGCGUACCGGGGCCAGACAUCAGCUCCAGAGCCUGAGCCGGAACCACCACUUGACCCUUAUCGACCGUCCUUUUAUCAGUGGGAUCUGGAGGAGAUCGCCAGCUAGUGGCAGUCAGAUGACACUCCUCAGUACACCAGAGAGAGUAGUCAUGAUCCAUGGGCAUAGAACAACUUAGGCCAAAACUCUAAGAUUGGGGGAGUACGUAUUUCUCACCGACAUUACAUUCAUGUUCACACACUCAUUCCAGUUGUCGGUGCUCAUACUUUUUCAUUGUACUACCCAUGCUAGUUUAUUUUCUUUUUCUUGCUUUAUUCUUGUGUGUUUGAAUAACCUUAAGAAAAACCAAAAAAAAUUAGUUAUAGCUUUUAGCUAGUUUCCUUUCCAUGCUUGUAGUAGUAGUAAUUAAAAGAAAACCCAAAAAGAUUUCUCGUUCUUCUUUUGUUUGUUGGGAGCUUUCCCGUGUAAAUAGUUUUAUUUCUUUUCUUUUCUUUGGGGGUCGAGAGGAGAAGACCAUGAUGAAAAUGUUGGGUGGCUCUCAUCUGCAUUAUUGUUGAUUUAACCAAGAGACCAUAUUACCUUGUUUUCUCCCUUGAAUUUAAUGCUUGUAGAUUCCAGCUUAGUCCAAUGCACGUGCACUAUUAUUAUUAUCCACAACGUUCGGUCGUGCAAGUGAAAGGCAAUAAUGACGAUAUAUGAUGAAAUGAUUGAGAUGAGAGAAGCUGGUAUGAACUCGACCUCUCUUGUUUUUGUAAAUAUGAUUAGUUCAUCAUUCCUGAUUCAGCCUAUUAUGAAUAAACAUGUUUUCAAUGACAAUUAGAGAUUAUAGUUGCUUAUGCCAUUCUUAAUUAUCGAGGAGUUAAUAAUGGUUUACCUUGUGUGCCAACAUGCUAUUAAAAUGGUUGUGAUGUGGUAUGAUAGGGUGGUAUCCUCCUUUGAAUGAUUCGAGUGACUUGAGUUGGCACAUGUUCACACAUGUAGUUGAAACAAAAUCAACAUAGCCUUCACGAUAUUUAUGUUCAUGGUGGAUUAUAUCCUACUCAUGCUUGCAUUCAAUGUCUAUUAAUUUUAAUGCAUGCUCAUGAUUGUUGUCGCUCUCUAGUUGGUCGCUUCCCAGUCUCUUUCUAGUCUUCACCUAUACUAAGUGGGAAUACUGCUUGUGCAUCCAAAAUCCAUAAACCCCAAAGUUUUUCCAUAUGAGUCCACCAUACCUUCCUAUAUGCGGUAUCUACCCGCCGUUCCAAGUAGAUCUGUAUGUGCCAAACUCUAAACCUUCAAAUGACAUUCUGUUUUGUAUGCUCGAACAGCUCAUGUAUCAACUAGGGUUGUCUGUAUCUUCCAUGCUAGGCGGGUUAUUCUCAAGAGGAGUGGACUCCGCUCCUCAUUCACGAGAAAAUGGCUGGUCACCGGGAUGCCCAGUCCCAUUCUCAAAUCAAAUCAAAAUAAUCACAAACAAAACUCCCCCAGGAUUGUUGUUAGUUGGAGGCACCCGUUGUUUCAGGCAAGCCAUGGAUUGAUGAUCGUUGGUGGUGGGGGAGUAUAAACUUUACCAUUCUAUUUGGGAACCGCCUAUAAUGUGUGUAGCAUGGAAGAUAUCGAGAUCGCUCAGUUGUUAUGUUGACAAUGAAAGUAUACUGCUCAAAAUAUUAUUUAUCUCUAUUUCAAAAUCAAGCUCUGGCACCUCUACAAAUCCCUGCUACCCUCUGCGAAGGGCCUAUCUAUUUACUUUUAUGUUGAGUCAUCAUCCUCUUAUUAAAAAGCACCCGCUGGAGAGCACCAAUGUCAUUUGCAUACAUUACUAUUAAUUUAUAUUGAGUAUGACUGAAUCUCUUUUACCAUGAAUUACAAUGUUUAGUGAGUCAUUGAUCUUCAGAGGUGCUCUGCAUUUAUGUUUUGUAGUCUCAGAAAGGGCUAGCGAGAUACCAUCUUGUUAUAUCAUAUUACGACUAUUUUGAGAAAGUGUUGUCAUCCGAGAUUUAUUAUUAUUGCUCGCUAGUUGAUUAUGCCAUUGAUAUGAGUAAACAUGAGACCUAAGCGUUAUUGUGAAUGUGGUUAGUUCAUAGUCUUUGCUGAAAACAUGAACGUUGGCUUUACAUAUUUGCAACAACAAGAGCAAACAGAGUUUGUAAAAGUUUUUCUUUAUCACUUUCAGUUUGUUAACUGAAUUGCUUGAGGACAAGCAAAGGUUUAAGCUUGGGGGAGUUGAUACUUUUCCAAACACUUUUGCCCUUGUUUUGGACACUAACUUGCAUGAUUUGAAUGGAACUAACCCAGAAUGAUGCUGUUUUCAGCAGAACUGCCAUGGUGUUAUUUUUGUGCAGAAAUAAAAGUUCUCGGAAUAACCUGAAAAUCCAUGGAGCAACUUUUUGGAAUUAAUGAAAAAUACUGGCGAAAGAAUCGGCACCAGGAGGCCCACACCCUGUCCACGAGGGUGUGCGGCGCGCCUCCUGCCUUGUGGGCCCCCUGAAGCUCCACCGACCUCAACUCCAACUUAAUAUAUUCACCUUCAGGGAGAAAAAAAUCAGAGAGGAAGAUUCAUCGCGUUUUAUGAUACGGAGCCGCCGCCAAGCGCUAAUCUCUCUCAGGAGGGCUGAUCUGGAGUCCGUUCGAGGCUCCGGAGAGGGGAAUCCAUCGCCGUCGUCAUCAUCAACCUUCCUCCAUCACCAAUUUCAUGAUGCUCCCUGCCGUGCAUGAGUAAUUCCAUCGUAGGCUUGCUGGACGGUGAUAGGUUGGAUGAGAUUUACCGUGUAAUUAAGUUAGUUUUGUUAGGGUUUCAUCCCUAGUAUCCACUAUGUUCUGAGAUUGAUGUUGCCAUGACUUUGCUAUGCUUAAUGCUUGUCACUAGGGCCCGAGUGCCAUGAUUUCAAAUCUGAACCUAUUUUGUUUUCAAGAAUAUAUGUGAGUUCUUGAUCUAUCUUGCAAGUCUAUAGUCACCUAUUAUGUGUUAUGAUCCGACAACCCCGAAGUGAUAAUAAUCGGGACCACUCUCGGUGAUGACCAUAGUUUGAGGAGUUCAUGUAUUCACUAAGUACUAAUGCUUUGGUCCGGUACUCUAUUAAAAGGAGGCCUUAAUAUCCCUUAGUUUCCAAUAGGACCCCGCUGCCAUGGGAGGGUAGGACAAAAGAUGUCAUGCAAGUUCUUUUCCAUAAGCACGUAUGACUAUAUUUGAAAUACAUGCCUACAUUACAUUGAUGAACUGGAGCUAGUUCUGUGCCACCCUAUGUUAUAACUAUUACAUGAGGAAUCACAUCCAACAUAAUUAUCUAUCACUGAUCCAAUGCCUACGAGAUUUUCACAUAUUGAUCUUUGCUUAGUUACUUUACUGUUGCCAUUGUUACAAUUACUACAAAACUGCUACUGUUACUUUUGCUACUAUUAUCAUUACUUCCAUACUACUUUGCUACUAAAUACUUUGCUGCAGAUACUAAGUUAUACAAGUGUGGUUGAAUUGAAAACUCAACUACUAAUACUUGAGAAUAAUCUUUGGCCCCCCUUGUGUCGAAUCAAUAAAUUUGGGUUGAAUACUCUACCCUCGAAAACUGUUGCGAGCCCCUAUACUUGUGGGUUAUCACGCCCCUGGCCAUACGGUCAGAUUCGGAAGCCUGAAUUUUGUGGCCGAUAUCCGUGGAGACAUGAUCUUCGAUGGAUUCGAGCCCAUGGUGGCUGUCCCCUGCCACCACGAUGAACAUGACCUAAAUCUGUCAUUUGACCGCGCUCAGGAGAUAGCGCCCGUAACCGCUCUGGCCCUAGAUCCGGAGCAAACCGCGCCAUCUGAGGACGGGAAGCUCAACCCCGCCAUGGAAGCCACAGACUUAGCAGCGUUUGAGCCGCACACAGACCCAACAUCGAGCGGGGCUUGUGUCACCAGAACCUCGGAUUCAUCUCCGGCCAUAGGUUCCGGACUGCAUGCAUCCGCGUCCAUCGACCUGAUUGGGCGCUGAUCUUGUAGUUCAGCUCCACGGACAUCUUCUAGCACUCACCUCUGGGCAACGUGUUAAACUCAUUGAAAUCCCUCUCCUUGUUAGGGGACUCUCAGCCGAACUAUGUCCGGCUUGAAUGGGAAGCGGACGACGAAGAACUUCUUUUCCCACCCACCACCCACUUUAUAGCAACUGUCGACGACUUAACCGACAUGCUUGAUUAUGACUUCGAAGACAUCGAUGGUAUGGACGACGAUGUCGAAGAGGAGCAGGCACCACCGUUUACAGGGCGUUGGACAACGAUCUCCUCGUAUGACAUAUACAUGGUGGAUACACCCAAAGAGGACAACGGCGACAAUGAAAAUCCGGUCGAGGAUAAACCUCCCGAGAUAGAGCCAAAGCACCGACGUCAGCGGCGCCGCUCUAAGCCACGCCACGACAAAAACAGCAACACCGUCACAGGAGAAAACAAUACUCCGGACGAUGCUGAAGACAAUGAAGACCCCGUUGAGCCAACAUCCGAAUAGGACGAAUGGGAGGACGGGUGAGUCAGCCCUGACGAACAGCCCAUGAAUGAAGACAUGGAGGAUAGCAACUACCUUCCGCUCUCCGAGGAUGAGGUAAGCCUCGGUGACAAAGAUUUUAUCGUGCUUGAGGAGCCCGACAAACAGGAACGCUUUAAGCGCCGGCUAAUUGCCACUGCAAGGAGCCUGAAAAAGCAGCAGUAGCAGCUUCAAGCUGAUCAAGAUCUGCUCAACGAUAGAUGGACAGACGUCCUGGCAGCCGAGGAAUAUGGCCUUGAGCGCCCAACCAAAAGCUACCCGAAGUGCAAAAUGUUACCACAGUUCGAUGACAAGGCGCUGGAGCCUGUCCUACCAGCGCAUAAUGCGGCUGACUGGCCACCACGUGGCCGAGACAAGGCGGCACCUCGAGCCGAACACCAUCCCGCACUACCCUGCAAUAGAAACAGAAAUACAACACUCGGGGAUAAACACAUGACCUGCGGCAUGACUUGAAAAACAAAGGAGGCCAGACCAGAUCGAUCUACAAAUCGCGGGGGUGUGCCUCGACACGCGAUGAUGGCCACCAGGCCGGACGUGACAAAUAUAACCACGUCCGGGUCGAAAACCAUAGAAGAACUCCAUCCGAGAUAUGUCACGACUUGGCCCGAUACAGAGGUGCCGCACACCCCCUCUGCUUCACCGAUGAAGUAAUGGAACACGAUUUCCCAGAAGGGUUUAAACCCGUGAACAUCGAAUCAUAUGAUGGGACAACAGACCCCGCGGUAUGGAUUAGGAUUUUCAUCUCCACAUUCAUAUGACCCGCGGUGAUGAUCUUCAUGCCAUGAAAUACCUCCCACUAAAACUCAAGGGACCAGCUUGACACCGGUUGAACAGUCUGUCCAAAAACUUCAUUGGCAGCUGGGAGGACUUGGAAAACGCCUUUCUUGACAACUUUCAAGGCACAUAUAUCCGACCUCCGGAUGCCGACGACCUAAGUCAUAUAGUUCAACAGCCCAGAGAGUCAGCCAGGAAAUUCUGGACCAAGUUCUUAACUAAAAAGAACCAGAUAGUCGACUGUCCGGAUGCCGAAGCCCUAGCGGCCUUUAAGCAUAGCAUUCGUGACGAAUGGCUCGCCCAACACCUCGGCCAAGAAAAGCUGAAGUCUAUGGCAGCCCUCACGACACUUAUGACCCGCUUUUGCGCAGGCGAGGAUAGCUGGCUAGCCCAUAGCAAUAAUCAUGCAAGCGAUCCUGGCACUUCUAAGGCCAGAAACAGCAACGGCAUGCCACGACAAAAUAGACACAAGCGUCGAAGCAACGGUGACAACACCGAAGACACGACUGUCAAUGCCGGAUUCAGUGGCUCUAAGACCGGUCGGCGGAAGAAGCCAUUUAAGAGAAACAAUCUGGGCCCGUCCAGUUUGGACCGCAUACUCGAUCGUCCAUGUCAAAUCCAUGGCACUCCUGAUAAACCAGCCAAUCAUACCAACAGAGAAUGUUGGGUCUUCAAACAGACCGACAAGUUAAAUGCCAAGAAGAAGUCGAAGGGGUCACAAAGUAAUGACGAUGAUGAGGAGCCCCGGCCACCGAACAUAGGGGGGCAGAAGAAGUCCCCCCCCCCCCAAGUCAAAACGGUAAACAUGAUAUACGCUACCAAUUCCCCAAAAGGGAGCGCAAGCGCGCACUCAGGGACGUCUACGCGAUGGAGCCAGUCGCCCCAAAGUUCAACCCAUGGUCGUCAUGUCCGAUCACCUUCGAUCACAGGGACCAUCCGACUAGUAUCCGUCAUGGCUGUUCAGCCGCACGGGUCCUUGACCCAAUCAUUGAUGGAUUCCACCUUACGCGAGUCAUCACGGAUGGUGGCAGCAGCCUCAACCUGCUCUAUCAGGAUACAAUGCGCAAAAUGGAUAUCGAUCCCUCAAGGAUCAAGCCCACAAAAACCACCUUUAAAGGUGUCAUACCAGGUGUAGAAGCCUGCUGUAUGGGCUCAAUCACACUGGAAGUGGUCUUCGGAUCCCCGGAUAAUUUCCGAAGUGAAGAAUUGAUCUUCGAUAUCGUCCCCUUCCGCAGUGGCUAUCACGCGCUACUUGGACGAACUGCAUUUGCUUGAUUCAAUGCGGUGCCGCACUAUGCUUACCUCAAGUUCAAGAUGCCCGGGCCACGCGGUGUUAUAACAGUCAAUGGAAACACGGAACGCUCCCUCGGUACCGAGGAGCACACCACAACCCUUGUAGCAGAAGUACAGAGCGGCCUUUUCAGGCAUAACCGCAAUUCAGCGGCCAAGCUCCCGGACACUGUCAAACGAGUCUGAACUACUCCGCAACAGGACAGUCCAGUUCAUCAAGAGCUUGACUAGCAAUUCGGCCUCCGUCCUAGUCCCGACCAAGCAAUAACAUUUGUGCCACGCAUACAUAACUUCGCACUCAAAAUACCAUGGGCAUAGACGGAGGCACAGCUAGACCGCGGUCCACAAUACGGCUCAACCGCUCCUGGACCCGCAUACUUUUACUAUUUCUUUUUCUUUUCAGGUUCCUCUUUUUACCCAGGACUUUUCCUGAUAACCUAAUCAUCAGACAUAUAAAGGGACGGGUACACCAGGAAGGCAAGAAGCUUUGACGUACAAGGGAACUCCCAGGUGGUCUCUGCUAACGAUCGUUAUACCUUAUUUAAAAAUCCGCACGUAGCUCGCCCUUGGUUGUGGCAUGUCAAAUAGCCUUAUUUGCUUAUCGCAUUACUUGUACAAAUACGCCUUGACGUAUUAAUCAAAUUACAAUGGAAAAUAAUUUGCGGCUCAAUAUUUGCAGCGUCAACUUAUGACUUGAUUUUUUCCUUUUUCUUUAUAUUUCUUAUCAAUUGCGCCCAUACACUCUGGUACGCCUUAAUUCGCCAGGGGCUUCAUCAUACCCCACAAUACGACAAUAAAGUUCAAACACUUUUACACUACAGUUCGGCACCCCGAACUUAUAGCAUUAUAUGCAUGGGCUCUGAAUCAUGUCUUUGGUCAAUAGUUGGGUUGCCCGGCUCCUGUGCUUACUACCUUACAUUCCGCUAUAUCGGCUAGGGUAGUAAAGGGAGAACUACUGCGAUUGUGUCCCAUUUCUUCCGGAUGAGCACCUCAGUAGAGAAAGCCGAAAACUGACUGUCAUGAUGCGGCGAGAGCCGGUCAGCUGUUCGAGAGGUUACAAAUCUUUAGUGAUUUUUUCCGCAUUAUGCGAUGAAUCGGUUUUUAUCUGAUCAGGCGUGUAUAGCGCCCCAAGUUCGGACUUCUGAACACCAGGGGUUGCGCCUAAAUUUUUCUUGUCAAACUCCUAUGGCUAAGUGAGAGUAAUAAAGCCGCAUAGUCAGAUUGCCUGGUUUGCACUAAACACCUCCUUAAAGGACCAAAACCUUGGAUAAAGAGUGUUUAGAUUUAUCCCGAACACCCUCGUACUACCUACAUGGGGGCAGAAGCCGAUGACUGGCCAACUCUCAGAUUUAACAAAACGGCCGCACAGGAGGUAAAAUUUUAAAUAACAAACAUUAUAUUACAUAACGGAUCUGUUUCAUAGUAUAGGACAGGAUAACAUGAGUGUAUUCAUGGGAAUAUGAUAUCCUUAGCACAUUGUUCCGCCACAAGGCGGGAUCCCUCCAGGACACUGUUGGGGUGCUCCUUGCCCGCGGGCGGUCCCCCGGUCAUCAGCUUCGUGGUGUCCAUCUUCGCCCAAUGCAUCUUGGCGCGGGCAAAGGCCAUUCGCGCGCCUUCAAUACAAACCGACCGCUUGAUGGCAUCAAGCCGAGGGCAGGCACUGACAAGCCGCUUCAUGAGUCCAAAGUAGCUGCUGGGAAUGGCUUUGGCAGGCCAUAGCCGGAUUAUCAAAUCCUUCAUGGCUAGUUCAGCCGCCCUAUGCAGCUCGACCACUUGUUUCAGCUGACCGCUAAAGGGCACUGGAUGUUCUGGCGCAAGGUAUUGUGACCAGGACAGCUUCUCCGUAGAGCUCCCCUCUUCGUCUCGAUAGAAUUCCGUAGCAUCUGACACGCUGCACGGCAGAUUGACGAACGCCCCUGAGAACUCCAAAUCCGGGUCAGUAAGAGGAACCUUUCCUUCGCAUAUCUGCUCUACAUAAUAAAAGCCUUACCCGCCGCGAUUUUCUUGGACUCCUGGAUUUCCUGGAGGGCGCCCUGGGCUUCGGCUCGAGCAUCGUGUGCACUUUGGCGGGCCUUGGAAAGUUCGGAUUCUUGAUCCUUAAAGUCGCGCUCCAAAGACUUUGUAACAACCUGAUUUUUUGGCCCUUUCUUUUUCUUUUGUUUUUCUGAGGUUUUUGCUUGAGUCUUCUUUUUCCGUGGCUUUGUGGUCUGGAAACUGAAGAAGAUGACCUCUUCUUUGCUUCUAGAGUAGCUUGUCAUAUCCAAAUCCUUCCCUAGACCCUGGCAUUUUCAUCCUAGCCCAAAUCCCAAUGUUCUUUUUAUUGGGAAUAUUCCAUUUCUAUUAAAGGAAUUAUCCUUUUUGCCCUAGGUUGUGAAGCAACCCAUAUUUCCAUCACUCCAAAAAUUCCCAAAUAAUUCUCAUAAAUUGUUUGGGUCAUAUCUUCAUGAAAUGUGGCAAAACUUUUCAUUUGCCAUGUUUAUCAUCUUACUCAAAUAAUUCCUUUUCUAUCCUGGCCUGUGUGGCAGGUUGUGAAGGAAGUGCUAUUUUCCUUUGCCCAAUUGACCUCAACCUUUUUGGACAUCUUUUCAUGUUCAAAUACUUGCCCUGUGCCAAAGCUCAACUUUAUUUGCCUAGCCAAUCUUCCUUAGUGAUUUUUCAAAGUUCCUAUCUGAGGGAAUGCAUUGUGAAGGAAGUACUAGCUAGGAGUAUCCAAAUGAGUUGAACUUUUGCACACUCCUUCAUGUGCUCAUAUUAACCCUCUCCACCCAUUUGCAGCCCCAUCCCAUCAUCUAUGAGAGCACAAGCUCAAAUCUUUGAUUCUGGCAAUAUUUUUAGGUUGUGAAGCAAGUGUAUUUCAUAUUGCUUCAAAAAUUCUGAUAAAUUACCAGAUCAUGAUCCUACCCAUAUAACCUAUCUCUACCCAAUUUGGGCAUAUUCCAUCUAACCAAUUUUCCUCUAGAAUUUUUGAAAGUUUCUGGUCACUGGAAAUGUUUGUGAAGGAAGUACCAUUUUGGUUUAUCCAAUUGGUAUGGAACCUUUUGCAACAUCUUCAUAUGACCAAAUAACUCUGCUUUGCCUAAGUUGAGCUCAAGUUGACACUCCUAGUGAGUGAUUCAUCCUCAUUACCAAAUCUGGCCAGUGUGGCAAUUUCUACAACAAGUGCUAUUUAAACUCCUCUUCUUGAGCUGAAACCUUGCCAUCCUAAUCACCUUAGCGAGUGAUCAACCCCAGUCAAAGCUCAGUCUUAAUCUCCACAUGUGUGAGCCACAGCAAACACCAAACACCUUGUUGUUGCCUGGUGUGCUUGCUUCCUCUGGUCACCCCAAUGAGCACUAUGCUUGUUUAUCUCUUCCUUGGCAUCACCCUCUGCACACCUUGUCUCCCAGACAUGAUUUGGCCGAUCAGAGCACGGGAUAGCGUCGUGUCCACGCGGUGACCACCGUUUUGGCAUGUCACCCACGCGCUCUAGCGCCUCUGCCUUCUUCUGCCCAUCUGUGCACUCGUCCCCUUGGAGCCUAGUCAUGUCCAGCGUGUUCCCCGCGUUGUCGCCGUCCCUUUGGAGCGCAUGCCCCUCCCUCUUCUUCUCCGGUGAGCCGUCCCCCUCGCUGCACUGUACGCGCGCUGUAGCCGACCGUCGUCUUCUCCUCUGUUGGCUUCUACCGCCCUUGUCCUCGAGCUCCGCUCGUCUCCGUGACUCUUUGCGCCUGUCCGUUCGUUCUCCAUCGUCUUCCCUAAGCCCAUGCACGAGCACACGCGUCUGCGGCACCGUCCACGCGUCCGCGGUGGCACCCGAGCUCGAACCGCCUCGACCCGGCUAUAAGUAGCAGCCUCGAGACCCUCCGAGAAAUCCAUCGCCCUCCCCUCACUCCCAGCAACCUCCCCGUCCACUCAAACAAGCUCGAGGAGCUCCCUUUGCUCACCAUUGCCACCAUGGCCGCCGGCUCUGACCUCCUAUAUUCCGGUGAACCGGAGCUCCAUUCCCUCUCUAACCACCACCAUCGUCCUCCCCAAGUCUCCUGGAGCCUCCCCAGCCCGUUCCCUCGUUGCCAGUGCAACCGGGUCCAUGAGUCCGGCGAUGCCCGAAGCACUCCUCCGCCGCGGCCAUCGUUCCGCCCGCGUCUAUGCUCUCCGGCUUGGCCAGACCCCUCAGGCGGGCGCAACUCGUCGUCCUGGUCACUCUGGUGGCCGGAGCGUCACCGGAGAUGGCCGGAGCAGCCCAGACGAGCGUCGGUGCCGGCGGCCUGCUUCUGCUCUGCGGGCGGCGGCGAGCUAGAGAAGGAGGAGAGGGAGGAGAGAGAGAGGUGCGCGGGCCCCACCAGUCAGCCUCACAGGAGCCGGCCCCGCAUUGACCCCGUCCACGCUGACGUGGAUAAGUGGAAGCGCAUUCAUGCGAAUGCGUUUUCCAUUUCUGAAAGUGUAUUUCUAGUUUACGCCUCUGCCUUAUCCACUCAGGAACCUGUCUGUGAAUAUUCUUUUUGCAGAAAAGCCCCUGAUCCUCUUCCCCUCAUAACUUUUUAUCCGUAACUUCGACUGAGGUGAAUCCAACGCCCACGUCUUCGUCUCGUCAAGCUCGUUCUGUUCCCACCAUUUUCACUAUGUUUCAUCAUUCUAAAACUGACCAUUUUGCCCUUGCCCCUAAUCAGCCCCCUCCGAGAGAGUACCCUUUCCGGCGAUUCUUUCCACGGCUUCACCGCACAUCUCCCCGGAGUAUCCUUCAUCCCCGGGCAAGCCAAAACCACCAUUUGCAUGAUAGCCAUGCAGAAGUAUUGGUUUUCAACUUUAAUCUUUAAUAACCAUAUGUUUGUUUUGCUACUACUAUCGGUAUUUCGGUUAUGCUUAUGGAUCGGUGUUUACCCUCAUGCUAUGUUUUCUUGCGCUAUGUUAUUAUGCUCUUCAUGCUAGUAUUACUUUCUUAUGGACCAUGUUUUGUAGUAGUACAUGUUGGUGAUGGUCUUCGGUGCAUGACUAUUAUCUGUUCCGAGUACCGCCAUUAUGCAUGUUCCUUUACACCAAGUUGAUUAAAUGCUUGCAUGGUAGUUUAUCAUUAUGUUAUUGCAUGGUAUUUAUUGUUGAUGCUAGUGGUCAUGUUAUGCUAUGAGUAGUGUUCUAGUUGUGAUAUUCAUGCUCGUCAAUAUGCCAUGCUCACCUGGAUAAAUGAUUACAUGUUGUUGUUAUGCUCGUUGAUUAUGAUGCAUCACCAUGCUUAUGUUGAUAUUAUGUUCAUGCACUGUAGUUGCAUCAUGUUAUUUUAUCAUGACUCAACAUAUUGCAUUCAAGUUUAACCGGAUUAAAUUGAACUUGAACAACUGUUGGCUGAGUCAUGGUGCCACCACAUCAAGCUGACGAGUGCCACCACGCUUACCUUAUGGGAAGGUCCUAACUGGGUCUAUUGUCAUGCCUCUCACCGGUGCCUCCCGCGAGGGAAGGUUAUGCACGGGCGCUACCUUGGCCAGGUAGGAUGGCAUAAGCCUUGUGUGCCCAUUGUUUUUGUAAGGAUCCUUGUCCCCGUUUGGGACCAUUUUGCCACGACGGUGGCCGUUGGUGCCUUUGGUAGGCACGGGGCCACCCAGGACCUAGCCCAAAGGGGAGUUGGUCGGAGUGGCCGGGAGAGUGUUAUGGCAGUAGGAAAGUUUUGUCAGAACGCUUUGGUCCACCCGAAUGGGAGUGCGAGGCCAGGGUUCCGUGGUGUGGGUACAAUGUGCUAACCUCUAUAGAGUGUGUGUGUUAAAUCUAUCGAUAGCCGCGCCCGCGGAUAUGGGCCCAGUUCGUAGUUGGUCACACUGUGGGUUAACAGUAAUAAUAAUGAUUUGCUUAAUAACAACCCUGGUUCGAUGAUGAAAGAAGUUGGUUGAUAUUUAUGUGAUCGAGAGAGGAUCACUGCGGUAUCGUGAAUAUCAACUCGUUGGAUAUUUGUGGCGUUAUGAGAGAGUCAAGGGUAAAAGUCAAGCUCCUUACGGUCGUAAAUGAUUACUACGGUAUUGUUAAUACCAAGCUUGAUUAGAUCCUGAGAUGAUCGUGUGAUGUCCGUGAUGGUAAGUUUGUGCAGGUGAGGGUUACGAGAUAACCCGAGCAGAGUAAGUUGGUGCACGAAAGUUUCAUCAUCUUGCAGGCUAGUCUCAUCAUGUUCAUAUGUUUAUGCCAUGCUUAUAUUGUUCUAGCUAUAUCAUGUUGUUCAUGCUAUGUUGUUCUGAUAGUAUCGUGUUCCUCAUUGCUUAAUAAACUAUAAUUGCCAUGCUAUUGUUUGUUUUGAUUGCUUUGGUUGCUGUGAGCUUGCAAGUACAUUCAAUGUACUGACCUGGCGUGUCAUGCCAGUUUGCAGGUCAUGCCGACUUUGAUUGCUUGUUUUCCGUGGAUUCCUUGUUUGCGAGCUAGGAUAAGCGUUCCAGCCAGAGUCCCUAUGGAGUGGAGUUCAUCACCGUUGUCGUUGUUCCGCUGCCAGUAGUCAUUCCACUGCGUUGAGUUGUUCGGCUGCUUGCAUGGAGCAACCGUGGCAGGCGUAGUGUCGCCGUGCCGAUGUAACCCCCUUGUACCCACAUAGAUUGCAAUAAAGAGCUAGUUUGUUCUAUGCUAAGCAGUGUCGUAUUCCAGAAGACUUCUCCUCGAUCUCUGGGCUAGAAUACGGGGUGUUCCGGUUUCUCUGAGCCGGGGUGCCACAGGCGUGGUAUCAGAGCCAGGUCUGGCCGGAGGAUGCCCUAGCCCGCGCGAACGUUAGAAAACGGUAGAAUAGACCCCAGUUGGUUUGUUGCACUUGAUUGCUGCAUUUGUUUAUUGCAUAGCAUGCAUAUAGACUCAUUAUCUUAUCACUAACGAUUUAUCUUGUGAGUGUAGGUGGCAUCAGUUUCGAUCCACUACCUGCACCCUCCUUCUUAGCAUGCCUGCUUUUCGGUGUUUGGCAUCAUCUCUGUCCCAGUAGAAUGAUGCCCUGGUACUGAGUGUUCCAGACACCAUUUGCAGGAUUUAUGCUCGGAUAUCAUGUCGAUAUCUGUCUGCCUCCCACCCAAAUUAUUUUGAUGAUAGACUUGUCUCUAUCCCAAAUCGUGCCCUCCAUCUCAUUCCUUUGGCAACCCUUACUGAUCUUUGUUAUCAGAAAAGGGCAAUGCCAUCAAGCCUUGCUUUUCCUCCCCUAGCUUGCCCUGUCAUUUCAUUCUUUGGACGGGUACGAUUCCCUUUGUACGCUUGAUGAUGAGGUAGUCGUGACUUCCGUGUCUCGCUACUUGAUCACCAAGUCGGUCCUCACCUCCGUAUCCCUCCAGAUCCAGUCAGUGUUCAGCCAACACUUGGGGUAGCCUUGGUUACGCCAACUCCUUCCACACAUGGAUUUCACUUUCGUGCACACCAUCACAGCUUAUUAGACCGUAGUACCGGAGCUUCAGAGACAUUUGCGUGCUUAGGUGCGCAUGCAUAUUAUUGUGAGAGUAGUAGUAAUAUAUGUUGAUUGCUUUAUAUUAUUAGUAUGCUUGUGUGCCUUUGUUUUGUUGGUUCUUUUGUUUCUUUGUUUGGGCCUUCAGUGUUACAAAUUUCCCCCCUUAUUAAAGUUGCUCGUCAACCAACACCGGACGCGAAGAAUCAGAAAGGAGUUCCAAUACUUGGAAGCUCAGAUAAAUGGAAUAAUAUUAUCAGCAGACUGCAGUGAAGUUUGAAUUAUCUCGUCUGAAUGGAAAAGGGAUCCUGGAUGGACUGUCAAUAUCAAGUUUGCAUCAGUAUGGAAUUCUUCGCCGACUGCAUUGAGAUCUAGGGAUAUCUGAUCGUGAUACGGAUGAUCAGGUUUUCCUCACUAUGCACACUUCAUGACAGAAAUGAUUAGCUCAGCAAGAAGAUAAGCUAUGUGCGAGACCAAAAGUGCAAUUUCAGUGAAAGGUAUGGUUCAGGUACAAGGUUCGAUUCUUCAUGGAGUGAUAUUUUGAAACAUGAUAUGCCUGGAAGAAAGCAAGGAUGUGCCACAUACUCAGAAAGGAGGAUGGUCCAGCAAUUCCUAUUUCAGCACGAAGCCCAGUUUUCCUCCGCAAGAUACUCUCGAUGGUUUUCAACAUAAGCCAUCCAAUUGUCCUAAGUACGGCACUGGUGCAAGAUAGUACAUUGUGAAUUGACAGCAGAUGUCAGAAUCAGAUCGGCAACAGUUGGUCAGAAGCAAGAAUCAGUCAGAACACAAGUCUGCCUCGGGAAUCAGAUUCUCAGAUAUAUGUGAAGGAAGCCCGAUAUACACCUCAGUGUGACAAAGGACUAUGAGUAUUGACGACAACACUGAUCUUUGUACAAGUACCGGUGAACCUGGAAGAUGAUCCUGAUGACCCCUUGUCUCCUUUUCUUCAGUGCCGGCACCACGCCUGUGAUCUGAGCUGUUUUUAGCUAUCCGGGGUGGAUGCUGAUUUUUAUUUCUCUCUUUGACGACUAUCAUGAGUUCUGAGCUGCUUUCUGGCCGUCUUGUACAACUGUUGAGUUUCUUUUUGUGGCAGUGACUCUAUAGCUGUUUUUUGGCUAUUUUAGGGAGCUGUCACUUUCUUCUUAUCAACCCGGUCUCAUGCUCUGAGCUGCUUUUCGGCCGUCCUGAGCCGUGGUUGAGUUACCUCAGUAAUGUCCCAGAUCUGUGUUGUAAAGACCGUUCUGGUGGCUACUGAUUUAUUUGCCGAUUUCUUGCAAGGGUUUGGAUGAUCAUUUUCCUACGGUCAGAACUUGAGAGGUGUUGAACGUGCCAUUUAAUGGGUUACCAUGUCAGAAGAUGCGGAUAAGAGUACGCAUGUCAGAAUAUUGCAACCGACAAAAGCUAUGGUCACACGGAGAGACAAUGUGACCCUGCUCCUUCACCCAAGGAUUUAGGCAAGAAAGCAGUAAUGAAGGAGCAAGACCGAUACUUGUUGCAAGAACCGCAUGGUGCAUAUGCCCCGGACAGUCUGUGUCAGUAUGGAGCAUCAUGUAUAUUCACCUAAGGGGCCUACUCAAUUUUGAUCAAAGGUGAAUUCAACAGUAUGACUCCAGCAACUAUUGUGAAGCCCCACACAGCCUACUAUCCCCAUGGACUGACCGACAGAAUGAGCAAUCAGAAUGUGAAUAACAGUCUCAAAGCAUGUGCCCUCAAUUAUGAGAAUCACCAAUGGAUAGCUUGGCAUGGAUAAAAUCUCAUCUGUCAGAACCACCAUCAGUCAACACUACGGCUAAUAUCAUAAAGUUACGAUGAUCCAGAAGGUUCUGCAGUGAGUCAAAAUCUGUCAGGAAAUGGUUAUGUCUCAACUCACAGUUUGGAACCCAAAGGACCUGCCUUUAGUGGAGAAACCCAAUGCAAGGAGUCAGAGCUUAGGUGUUCAUCAGGAAAAUCUGGUCACCAAAUUAUGGAAGAUUGUCAGUACAGACACAGCCAUCAGAAAUCACCCUCGGAUUUGUGAGACACACAUAUAUUUCGGUCAGGGUAAUCUCAGAUAAGCCAGCAGAUAUGAAAAGAAGUGGAGAUAGUAUAAAUGUGAAUAUGUGAGGUAAGAUCUAUCAGAAUGUGGAUAAAACCUCAGAGACAGUCAGCCAGUCAAAUAAAAUUUAGUGGGAACAACAAUGAAGGAAAAAGGAUACCCGAGUUGGAAACGGUUUCCUUAAGGUCAGAUAUAUUCAGACUUAAUCCCUGAGCAACCAAAUCUCGAGGACGAGACUCCUUUAAGAGGGUAAGGUUUGUAAUAACCUGAUUUUUUGGCCCUUUCUUUUUCUUUUGUUUUUCUGAGGUUUUUGCUUAAGUUUUCUUUUUCUGUGGCUUUGUGGUCUGGAAACUGAAGAAGAUGACCUCUUCUUUGCUUCCAGAGUGGCUUGUCAUAUCCAAAUCCUUCGCUAGCCCCUGCCAUUUUCAUCCUAUCCCAAAUCCCAAUGUUCUUUUUAUUGGGAAUAUUCCUUUUCUAUUAAAGGAAUUAUCCUUUUUGCCCUACGUUGGGAAGCAACCUAUAUUUCCAUCAUUCCAAAAAUUCCCAAAUAAUUACCAUAAAUUGUUUGGGUCAUAUCUUCAUCAAAUGUGGCAAAACUUUUCAUUUGCCAUGUUUAUCAUCUUGCUCAAAUAAUUCCUUUUCUAUUCUAGCCUCUGUGGCAGGAUGUGAAGGAAGUGCUAUUUUCCUUUGCCCAAUUGACCUCAACCUUUUUGGACAUCAUUUCAUGUUCAAAUGCUUGCCCUGUGCCAAAGCUCAACUUUAGUUGCCUAGCCAAUCUUCCUCAGUGAUUUUUCAAAGUUCAUAUCUGAGGGAAUGCAUUAUGAAGGAAGUACUAUCUAGGAGUAUCCAAAUGAGUUGAACAUUUGCACACUCCUUCAUGUGCUCAUAUUAACCCUCUCCACCCAUUUGUAGCCCCAUCCCAUCUUCUAUGAGAGCACAGGAUCAAAUCUUUGAUUCUGGCAAUAUUUUCAGGAUGUGAAGCAAGUGUAUUCUAUAUUGCUUCAAAUUUUUUGAUAAAUUACCACAUGAUUCUACCCAUAUAACCUAUCUCCACCCAAUUUGGGCAUAUUCCAUCUAGCCAAUUUUCCUCUAGAAUUUUUCAAGUUUCUGGUCAGUGGAAAUGUUUGUGAAGGAAGUACCAUCUUGGUUUAUCCAAUUGGUAUGAAACCUUUUGCAACAUCUUCAUAUGACCAAAUAACUCUGCUUUGCCCAAGUUGAGUUCAAGUUGACACCCCUAGUGAGUUCUUCAUCAUCAUUUUCAAAUCUGGCCAGUGUGGCAAUUUCUACAACAAGUGCUAUUUAAACUCCUCUUCUUGAGCUGAAACCUUGCCAUCCUAAUCACCUUAGUGAGUGAUCAACCCCAGUCAAAGAUCAGUCUUAAUCUCCACACGUGUGAGCCACAGCAAACACCAAACACCUUGUUGUUUCCUGGUGUGCUUGCUUCCUCUGGUCACCUCAGUGAGAACUAUGCUUGUUUCUCUCUUCCUUGGCAUCACCCUCUGCACACCUUUUCUCCCAGACAAGAUUUGGCCGAUCAGAGCAUGGGUUAGAGUCGUGUCCAUGCGGUGACCACCGUUUUGGCAUGUCACCCGCGUGCUCUAGCGCCUCUGCCUUCUUCCCCCCAUCUGUGCACUCGUCCCUCGGAGCCUAGUCAUGUCCAGUGUGUUCCCCGCAUUGUCACCGUCCCUCUAGAGCUCUUGCCCCCUCCGUCUUGUUCUCCGGUGAGCCGUACCCCUCGUCGCACUGUGCGCGCGCUGUAGCCAACCAUCGUCUUCUACUCUGUUGGCUUCUACCGCCCUUGUCCUCGAGCUUCGCUCGUCUCCGUGACCCCUGGCGCUCGUCGGUUCCCUCCCCGUCGUCUUCCCAGAUCCCAUGCACGAGCACACACGUCCGCAACGCCGUCCACGCGUCCACGGUGGCACGCGAGCUCGAACCGCCUCGACCCGACUAUAAGUAGCAGCCCCGAGCCCCUCCGAGCACUCCAUCGCCCUCCCCUCACUCCCAGCAACCUCCCCGUCCACUAAAACAAGCUCGAGGAGCUCCCUUUGCCCGCCAUUGCCACCAUGGCCGCCGCCUCUGACCUCCUAUAUUCCGGCAAAUCGGAGCUCCAUUCUCUCUCUAGCUACCUCCAUCGUCCUCCCCAAGUCUCCUAGAGCCUCCCCAGCCCGUUCCCUUGUUGCCACAACAAUCGGGUCCGUGAGUCCGGUGAUGCCCGAAGCACUCCUCUGGCGCGACCAUCAUUCCGCCCGCGUCAACACUCUCCGGCUUGGCCAGACACCUCAGGCGGGCGCGACUCAUCAUCAUGGUCACUCUGGUGGCCGGAGCGUCACCGGAGAUGGCCGGAGCAGCCCAGAUGAGCAUCGGCGCCGGCGGCCUGCUUCUGCUCUAUGGGCGGCGUCGAGCUGAAGAAGAAGAAGGAGAGGAAGGAGAGAGAGAGGUGCGCGGGCCCCACCAGUCAGCCUCACAGGAGCCGGCCCCGCGUUGACCCCGUUCACGCUGACGUGGAUAAGUGGAAGCGCAUUCGUGCGAAUGCGUUUUCUGAAAGCGUAUUUCUAGUUUACGCCUCUGCCUUAUCCACUCAGGGAACCGUCUGUGAAUAUUCUUUUUGCAGAAAAGCCCCUAAUCUUCUUCCCCUCAUAACUUUUUAUCUGUAACUCCGAUCGAGGUGAAUCCAACGCCCAUGUCUUCGUCUCGUCAAGCUCGUUCUAUGCCCACCAUUUUCAUUAUGUUUCAACAUACUGAAGAUGACCAUUUUGCCCAUGCCCCGAAUCAUCCCCCUCCGAGAGAGUACCCUUUCCGGCGAUUCUUUCUGCUGCUUCACCGCACAUCUCCCCGGAGUAUCCUUCAUCCCCAGGCAAGCCACAACCACCAUUUGCAUGAUAGCCAUGCAGAAGCAUUGGUUUUCAACUUUAAUCUUUAAUAACCAUCUGUUUGUUUUGCUACUGUUGUCGGUAUUUCGGUUAUGCUUAUGGAUCGGUGUUUACCGUCAUGCUAUGUUUUCUUGCGCUAUGUUAUUAUGCUCUUCAUGCUAGUAUUACUUUCUUAUGGACCAUGUUUUGUAGUAGUACAUGUUGGUGAUGGUCUUCGGUGCAUGACUAUUAUCUGUUCCGAGUACCGCCAUUAUGCAUGUUCCUUUACACCAAGUUGAUUAAAUGCUUGCAUGGUAGUUUAUCAUUACGUUAUUGCAUGGUAUUUAUUGUUGAUGCUAGUGGUCAUGUUAUGCUAUGAGUAGUGUUCUAGUUGUGAUAUUCAUGCUCGUCAAUAUUCCAUGCUCACCUGGAUAAAUGAUUACAUGUUGUUGUUAUGCUCGUUGAUUAUGAUGCAUCACCAUGCUUAUGUUGAUAUUAUGUUCAUGCACUGUAGUUGCAUCAUGUUAUUUUAUCAUGACUCAACAUAUUGCAUUCAAGUUUAACCGGAUUAAAUUGAACUUGAACAACUGUUGGCUGAGUCAUGGUGCCACCACAUCAAGCUGACCAGUGCCACCACGCUUACCUUAUGGGAAGGUCCUAACUGGGUCUAUUGUCAUGCCUCUCACCGGUGCCUCCCGCGAGGGAAGGUUAUGCACGGGCGCUACCUUGGCCAGGUAGGAUGGCAUAAGCCUUGUGUGCCCGUUGUUUUUGUAAGGAUCCUUGUCCCCGUUUGGGACCAUUUUGCCACGACGGUGGCCGUUGGUGCCUUUGGUAGGCACGGGGCCACCCAGGACCUAGCCCAAAGGGGAGUUGGUCGGAGUGGCCGGGAGAGUGUUAUGGCAGUAGGAAAGUUUUGUCAGAACGCUUUGGUCCACCCGAAUGGGAGUGCGAGGCCAGGGUUCCGUGGUGUGGGUACAAUGUGCUAACCUCUAUAGAGUGUGUGUGUUAAAUCUAUCGAUAGCCGCGCCCGCGGAUAUGGGCCCAGUUUGUAGUUGGUCACACUGUGGGUUAACAUUAAUAAUAAUGAUUUGCUUAAUAACAACCCUAGUUCGAUGAUGAAAGAAGUUGGUUGAUAUUUAUGUGAUCGAGAGAGGAUCACUGCGGUAUCGUGAAUAUCAACUCGUUGGAUAUUUGUGGCGUUAUGAGAGAGUCAAGGGUAAAAGUCAAGCUCCUUACGGUCGUAAAUGAUUACUACGGUAUUGUUAAUACCAAGCUUGAUUAGAUCCUGAGAUGAUCGUGUGAUGUCCGUGAUGGUAAGUUUGUGCAGGUGAGGGUUACGAGAUAACCCGAGUAGAGUAAGUUGGUGCACGAAAGUUUCAUCAUCUUGCAGGCUAGUCUCAUCAUUUUCAUAUGUUUAUGCCAUGCUUAUAUUGUUCUAGCUGUAUCAUGUUGUUCAUGCUAUGCUGUUCUGAUAGUAUCGUGUUCCUCAUUGCUUCAUAAUCUAUAAUUGCCAUGCUAUUGUUCGUCUUGAUUGCUUUGGUUGCUGUGAGCUUGCAAGUACAUUCAAUGUACUGACCUGGCGUGUCAUGCCAGUUUGCAGGUCAUGCCGGAUUUUAUUGUUUGUUUGCCGUGGAUUCCUUGCUUGCGAGCUAGGAUAAGCAUUCCAGCCAGAGUCCCUGCGGAGUGCAGUUUAUCACCGUCGUCGUUGUUCCGCUGCCAGUAGUCAUUCCGCUGUGUCGAGUUGUUCGGCUGCUUGCAUGGAGCAACCGUGGCAGGCGUAGUGUCGCCGUGCCGAUGUAACCCCCUUGUACCCACAUAGAUUGCAAUAAAGAGCUGGUUUGUUCUAUGCUCAGUAGUGCCGUAUUCUAGAAGACUUCUCCUCGAUCUAUGGGCUGGAAUAUAGGGCAUUCCAGUUUCUCUGAGACGGGGUGCCACAGACUUGCACUUCUUGAUGGCGUCCUAGAGCUCUUGCUGGACCUCACUGACCCGGGCCUCAUGCUUCUCACGUGCACCUCGUUCCUUGGCCGCUUUGUCCUCGACCUCGACCAGCGUCUUCUUGAGGGCAUCUACUUCGGUUGUUGCCCCUAAUAAAUACCAUGGCACUUUAAGUUUGUACGAAUCAUUCAUCCUUCCUGAAUAUAUAUAAAUGUUACUGCAUACCUUGACUGUCCUCCAGCUGCUUCUUCACGCGGCCGAGCUCUUCCUCGGCCCGCUCCAGACUCUGCUUCAGUCCGGAGACUUCUGCAGUGUGAGAGGUUGCAGCUAGCAGUAAUGCCUGCUUAUUCACAUAGACAUUUUAGAUUAGUUUCCUGCGAAAAUUAUUUGAUCCUCUGUCCAACUUGUCUUUUUGAAUACCGAGCAGUGUCUCAGGGGCUACUGUCUAUACUGUGACAAUAUUUUUUAUACAAUUUCAUUACUUACCUCAAAGACGGUUAGAAGGCUUGUGCAGGCUUCGGUCAGUCUGCUCUUCACGGACUGAAUCCUCUCAAUCACCAUACCCAUAAGGGUACGGUGUGCUUCAACAAUGGAAGCGCCUUGCAGCGCUUCCAACAAAUUAUCCAGUGCCUCUAGAUGGAUAGAGGCCACCAGUGGAAUAGCGCACCUCCGUCUUUUGAAAGAGGCGGCUAGCCUGAUUCCGGAGCCAUAUAUGUCUCCGGAACUAUAUUCAGUUGGGGGCCAAACUGGAUGCGGCCCCCAUCGGUAGUAUCCAUGGGGGUUUGCUCCCCCAUGCGUCCGGCCGCUGAGGCCUCACCAUUCGGCGCCUCCCUGAGGGCCUCUUGAAUAUCUCCCGGGUCUGGCAUCCUCCGGGACGAUGCCUCGGCACCAUCCAGGUCCCUAGGAGAGGUGUCCGAUGGAAGGGUCCCGCUGUCCAUGGCCGCCGGCUCCAGCGAAUCCUCUGAAGAUAAGGACUGCUCGAGGUUGGACUGAGCCGGACUACAAAUGCAUAAUUCAGCAUGUUAAAACAAUGAAGUAAGGAGGCCCGAUAUAUGAACAUGUCCGGACACUUAAGAUCUGGCCAGGAGCUUGUCCCUGGGCUCCCACUCCUAGCUACUGUUGGUGGCCACUGUGGAGCUAUCCGGAAGGGAAGCUUUCCCCUUCUUGGACGCCUCGGCCUCCAGAUGCUUGGAUGCCAUCCUCUUCUUUCUCCCCCCUGCAGGGGGGAAUGGAUUUCUUCUUCUUCCUCCUCUUCCUCGUCAUCUUCGGUGGCGGAGGAGUGAGCCUCGGCGUCUUCGGACAUCGCGUCCGAAGUGCCCUUGCGAUGGAGACCACCUCUGGUCCCCUUGGCCUUCUUCUUGGCCUUCUUCUCCGAUGCCUAAUAAGGCGCUGGAACCAGCAUCUUCGCCAAGAGCAGGAUUUCCGGAUCUUUGGGCAGCGGAGCCAGACAGUUAAUCCACUCUGCCAUCUCUGUCCAGGCCUGAAAUAUUAAUAGGGAAACUUAGAUGCCUUCCCCGAGUAUGCAAGUAAAGGGUAUACCUUGAGAACAUGAAAGAACUUAGCGGAUUAGCAGGGUGAGUUAAGUCAUGCCCACGAUCCUCGGUCGUGGGUGGCGGCGCCUCGUUGGCCGUUAAGAGCACCUUCCAAAUAUAUUCGUGCAUCGUGUCGAAGAGUUCUAGUAGGGUCUGAUGCUUGUCCAGAUCGAACUCCCAUAGAUGGCAGGUCCGGCAUUGGCACGGAAGGAUCCGACGAACAAGCAUCACCUGGAUCAUGUUGAUGAGCUUGAUUUUCUUGUUUAUCAUGUUCUGAACGUGCGUCUAGAGCGCCAUCAGCUUGUCCGAGGAAGACCAGGUCAGACCUUUCUUUUGCCAGGAGGUGAGCCGCAUCGGGACUCCGGACCGGAAUGCGGGAGCCGUGACCUAGUUUGUGCUGCGUGGCUCAAUGAUGUAGAACCACCCCGAUUGCCACCCUUUGACAGUCUUCACAAAGGAGCCUUCGGGCCAGGUGACGUUGGACAUCUUACCCACCAUGGCGCCUCCGCACUCUGCUUGUUGGCCGCUCACCACCUUCGACUUCACAUUGAAGGUUUUCAGCCAUAGCCCAAAGUGAGGUGGGAUGCGGAGGAAGGCCUCACACACGACAAUAAAUGCCGAGAUGUUGAGGAUGGAGUUGGGGGCCAGAUCAUGGAUGUCCAUCACUUAAUAGAACAUAAGUUCAUGGAUGAAAGGGUGGAGAGGGAAUCCCAGCCCGCGGACGAAGUGAGAGACGAACACCACCCUCUCGUGGGGCUCGGGGGUGGGUACGAUUUUCCCCUCGGCCGGAAGCCGAUGGGCGAUCUCCUUGGCCAAGUACCCGGCCUCCUGGAGCUUCUUGAUGUCCUUCUCCUUGACGGAGGAGGCCAUCCACUUACCUCCUGCUCCGGAUCCGGACAUGGUUGGAGUGCUUUUUUGGGCGAAGAAGGCGAGGGCUUGGGCGCUGGAGCUCGAGAAUGGAAGGGCAGAGGAAGGAGAAGGCGUGGGUGAAAAAAGGAAGAGUCCUUAUCCCUUUAUAAAGGCAGUGAAUAUUAUGCGCCGCCCCACUCGCCUUAAAACUCGCCUAUUACCCAAGGGCUGUGCAGAUGGCACGGUUGGGUUACCCAUGCCCGUAUUGAUGAGAAUCAUGUGAUAAGGGGACAUGAUCUUUGCUUUGACAAGACAUGCCAAUGAAACCACACCUAGAAAUACGGAGGGGCGGGCUAAAAAAUGGUUCAAAUAAUGACCGAACAGUGGCGUGAUGUCAUGCUAUUAAAAGUCGUCAGCGGAUUGGACUCGUGAAAUAUUAUACUCUCUACGGUUAUGUGUGGAACUUGUUUUGCAGAUCCAGACACGAUUCUUGUGUUCGAAGACUAUUUUGGAGUAUUCGGAGAGGGAACCCGCCAUGCAAUGCCGAAGACAAUCUGCAUGCCGGACUCAUUGUCAUUGAAGCCUGGUUCAGGGGCUACUGAGGGAGUCCUGGAUUAAGGGGUCGUUGGACAGCCGAACUAUUAACAUGGGUCGGACUAUUGGGAUACGAAGAUACAAGAUAGAAGGCUUCUUCCCGUGUCUGGAUGGGACUCUCCUUUGCAUGGAAGGCAAGCUUGGCGAUUCGGAUAUGCAGAUUCCUUUCUCUGUAACCGAUUUUGCGUAACCCUAGCCCCCUCCGAUGUCUAUAUAAACUGGAGGGUUUAGUCCGUAGAGGCAACAACGAUCAUAAUCAUAGGCUAGACUUCUAGGGUUUUAGCCAUUACGAUCUCGUGGUAGAUCAAAUCUUGUAAUACUCAUAUUCAUCAAGAUCAAUCAAGCAGGAAGUAGGGUAUUACCUCCACAGAGAGGGCCCGAACCUGGGUAAACAUUGUGGCCCCUGCCUCCUGUUACCAUCAGCCUUAGACGCACAGUUCGGGACCCCCUACCCGAGAUCCGCUGGUUUUGACACUGACAGCCCUCGCGUUGGUGGUCCACUUGGCCGGUGCGCGCGGACUGCGAAAGGAACAGAGGUGCUGCGACCAUGGUGCACUCCCCUCCACCAUGAUAGCAGUGGUCGCCAGUUCAGCAGUAGACGCCCCUGAUGACGGAUCCACGGCAUCGUCCGACCCAUGAGCUCGCCGCAAUCAAUGUCAAGUUCUUCAAGAAUGAGUCAAAUAGGAUGCUUGAACCACCAUCGAGCGGCGGCGGGAAGCACGCUAUCAAUGUGACAAGCGCGUAGGCCCCACUGUAGACAAGCCUGCGCAGGGGAACCCUACUGACUUACCUUACGAGGUGGGUUGUCUAGCAUUUACCCAUGAGCUCUGGCGGUUCAAGUGACCCACUUCCUGCACGUUCAAACCCAAGAUCCAAUAGGUGUAGUUUCCCCGACAUCUUUGGCGUGCCAGUUUCAUUCAAAGAAAUUGCAUCAUCCAGCUCAGUCUCUUCAGACAAUCCCUCUCUCCUGGCCAUUUUCAGUUUGGGGGCUCGACAUACUGGGCCCUUUUCCCCGUGUUGUCUGGGGCUUUGAGUACUUGUACAUUGCAAUCGACAAGUUCACAAAGUGGCCGAAAGUGGAGGCGGUGAGAAUGGUGACAACACAGUCAACCGUCAAGUUCUUCAAAUGACUAGUUUGCCAUUUUGGUGUUCCAAACAUAGUCAUCACCGGCAACGGCACACAGUUCAUGAGUCGCACCUUCAUGCAAUAUAUCCAAGACCUUGGUAGCAAAAUCUGUUUUGCUUCUGUUGCUCAUCCAAGAACCAACAGCCAGACGGAAAGGGCAAAUGCUGAGGUGUUGCGGGGUCUCAAGACAAGGACUUUCGACAUGCUGUAGAAGUGCGGAAGAUGCUGGGUUGAUGAGUUGCCGGAAGUUCUUUGGUCAAUCAGGACGACACCAAGUCAAGCUGCUGGCCCAGACACCUUUCUCCCUGGUGUAUGGGCGGAAGCAGGUCUCCCCACAGAACUCAUAUACAGGUCACCUCGAGUGCUUGUUUAUGAUGAGCUUGAGCAAGAGCAGUUGCGGCAAGAUGAUGUUGCGCUCCUUGAGGAAGAUCGUCUUCAGGAUGUUGUGCGAGCCGUGCGCUACCAGUAAGCCUUGCACUGCUACCACAGCUGCAAGGUUCACACCCGAAGCCUUGAGGAAGGCGACCUUGUUCUUCGGCACGUUCAGUCGGCCAAGAAUUCCAACAAGUUGACGCCAAAGUGGGAAGGCCCUUAUCGGGUAAUGCGAGUCACCUGGCCCGGCAUAGUCCGCCUGGAGACCGAAGAUGGUAUUCUAGUAAGCAACUCCUGGAAUAUUGAACAUCUUCGCAAGUUUUACCUAUAAGGCGCGGUUGCCGGGUCCCCCGGCAACCCCCUUUUUUGUACUAGCCUUGCCGGCGAGUCAUAAAACCCUAUGUACAGAGCCAGUCGUAGACCUUGUGCGCAGUUGAACAAGUUUAAGUAUGUACAGUCCUUGUUGAUUUCCAUGUUCAUAUCUAUGCAUGCAUGUCCAGGUUAUUGUACUACGUCUGUUUCCAGCAAGUACUGAUGAACUGCGAAGGUUCCAUGUUCCUAUUUCCUCUUCUUUCUUGUUCUCAAAGGAUAGAAGGUUCCCUCGCAUAGAAGUUUGUCGGGGGGAUGAUGGUAUGGAGUAUGGACACCAACGAGCGACGUUCGAAGUGGAAUCUUGCGGAAAAGAGUACAACAACAGCUAAGUUGUGAAACCUUGAGUGAAUUUGUUUUAAAUAUGAGAUUAUUUUUCUUGAACAAUUUCGGGUCUUGUAUGGAAAACCUGCACGCGAAGGAACCUUGUCGUAACUAGUUGCGCCUGAGGGAGUCCUGGAUAAGGGGGUAUCCGGACAGCCGGACUAUGUACUUUGGUCGGACUGUUGGACUAUGAAGAUACAAGAUUGAAGACUUCGUCCCAUGUCCGGAUGGGACUCUCCUUGGCGUGGAAGGUAAGCUUGGCGAUUCGGAUGUAGAUCUCCUCCUCUGUAAACUGACUCUGUGUAACCCUAGCCCUCUCCAGUGUCUAUAUAAACCGGAGGGUUUAGUCCGUAGGACACAACCAAUAACAACAAUCAUGCCAUAGGCUAGCUUCUAGGGUUUAGCCUCCCUGAUCUCGUGGUAGAUCAACUCUUGUAAUACUCAUAUCAUCAAGAUCAAUCAAGCAGGAAGUAGGGUAUUACCUCCAUCGAGAGGGCGCGAACCUGGGUAAACAUCGUGUCCCCAGCCUCAUGUUACCAUUAGCCUUCGACGCACAGUUCGGGACCCCCUACCCAAGAUCCGCCGGUUUUGACACCGACAUUGGCGCUUUCAUUGAGAGUUCCUCUGUGUCGUCGCUAUAAGGCUCGAUGGCUUCUCCAACCUUCAAUAAUGCCGUCCUGGGUGAGACUUUUCUCCCCAGACAGAUCUUCGUGUUUGGCGGCUUCGCACUACGGACCAACUCGCUUGGCCAUCUAGAGUAGAUCGAUAGCUACGCCCCUGGCCGUCAGACCAGGUUCGGGAACCUAAACUACACUGCCGAUGUCCGUGGAGAUUUGAUCUUCAACGGAUUCGAGCCCAUGUGAGGAGCGCCGAAAGUUCGCCACGCGCAUGACUUAGAUCUGCCGUCGGACAGUAUUCAGAAUAUCGCACCUGCUACCGCUCCGAACUCCGUUCCCGAGCAGGUCAUGCCUUUCGAGGACGGGUGGAUGGACCCCGCCCCGAAGACCGCACACUCAUCGGCUUUGGAGCCGAACACAGACUCCUCUCCUAAAAGGAUCUGUAUCCCCGGACCCCCGGACUUGCCUCCGGUCGUGUGUUCUGGACCGCGCGCACUGGUGCCCAUCAAAUCCAACUGGGCCCCGGUUACGGAAUUCGCCGCCGCAGAUAUCUUUCAGCACUCACCCUUCGGAGACGUGCUAAAUUCAUUAACGUCUCUCUCUUUGUCAGGAGACUCUUGGGCGGACUGUAUCCGGCCCAUGUAGGAUACGGAGGACGAAGAAGAUCGCGAUCCACCCACCACCCAUUUUAUAGCCACUAUCGGUGACCUCACAGGCAUGCUUAACGUCGACUCCGACGACAUCGAUGGCAUGGACGUCGAUGUAGGGGUAGACCUGGAACCACCACCAACAGGGCGCUGGACUUCCACUUCAUCAUACGACGUCUACAUGGUCGAUACGCCUAAAGGAGACAAUAGUGACAAAAAGGACACAAUGGAGGAUAAACCCCCUGGGCAAAAGCAAAAACGAUGGCACAGGCGCCACUCUAAGUCCAGUCACAGUAAAAAUAGUGAUAACAACACAAAACAGGAUGACACUCCAGUUGACUCCGAAGGCAACAAUGACCAUAGGGACCCAGCGAUGGAGCAGGACAAGCCAGGUCACGCCGAAUACAACCCGGAGCAGAUGCCCGAUCACAGCAAUCUAGAAGGCCGAACUCAUCACACUACCUCCAAAGAGGAGGAUAGUCCGGCUGAUGAUGCAUUCAUCAUCCUGGAAAAACGUCUGGAACAAGAUAACCUCUGCAGAAAACUCCUGGCCACGACAAGGAGCUUGAAGAAGCAGAAGCAAGAGCUUAAGGCCGCGCAGGACAUGCUCAACUGAAGAUGGAAUAAGGUGCUGGACACCAAAGGGAAAGGUGGCGAUAACCGCCACACAAAGAGCUACCCAAAGUGCAAACUGCUACCCGAAUUUGACGAUGAAGCCGCAGCACCCGUUCGGCCAAAAAACAAUACGGCUACUCAGCCGGACCAACCACCUCAUGGAUGCGAUAGAGCAGCCACCAAUACCGCACAGGAUUUAUGAGAGCUCCUGGACAAAAAGGCUGGCGGCCAGAUCCAUCUAUGGGUCCACAGGACAUGCUUUGACACGGGAUCAUGGUCACCGCAACGAUCAUACUGAUCGAAUAGUCCGGAAUCAACACCGGGAACAACACCAGCCGACAGCAUGCCACGACAUGGCCAGAUAUAGAGGGGCUGUGCACCCCCUGUGCUUCACGGAUGGGUGCUGGAUCAUGAAUUCCCACAGGGAUGCAAACCCGUGAAUAUAGAGUCAUACGACAGACCCUGGGGUCUGGAUUGAAGAUUUUUUCCUCCACAUACACAUGGCUCGUGGGGACGAUCUCCACACCAUCAAAUACCUCCCCCUCAAGUUAAAAGGACCAGCUCGUCACUGCCUGAAAAGCCUCCCCAAAAACUCAAUUGGAAGUUGGGAGGAACUUGAGGAUUCUUUCAGGGCCAACUUUCAAGGGACCUAUGUCCGGCCUCCAGAUGCUGAUGAUUUAAGUCACAUAAUACAGCAGCCUGGAGAGUCAGCACACAAACUUUGGAACAGAUUCCUCACUAAAAAGAAUCAAAUCGUCGAUUGUCCAGAUGCCGAAGCCUUAGCGGCCUUCAAACACAGUAUUCGAGACGAGUGGCUUGCCAGACACCUCGGCCAAUAAAGGCCGAGAAUGAUGGCAGCCUUAACAAGCCUCAUGACCCAAUUUUGUGCGGGCGAGGACAGCUGGUUGGCCCGUAGAGGCACCAGCGACCCAGACACAUCCGAAAUCUGAGAUGGCAACAGGAAGUCACGACACUCUAAGCAGAAACGUCGGAAUAACAAUAGUCCGGACAACACAGCGGUCAACGCCGGAUUCAGGGGCUCUCGACCUGGUCAAGGAAAGAAGCCAUUUAAAGGCAGUAAAGAGGAACCAUCUGGUCUGAACAAAGUCCUGGAUGGAUUGUGCCAAAUCCAUGGCUCUUCCGACAAACCGGCAUAUCACACCCAUAGAGAAUGUUGGGUUUUCAAGCAGGCCGGCAUGUUAAAUGCCGAACACAAGGGAAGGGAAACACCAAGCAAAGAUGAGGAUGAGCCUCGCCAGCCGAACACCAGGGACCAGAAACAAUUCCCACCGGAAGUCAAAACGGUAAACAUGGUACAUGCAACUCACGCAGAGUUUGUAGCCCCCCAAUUCAAUCAGUGGGCAACUUGCCUGAUAACUUUUGAUCACAGGGACUACCCGGCCAGUAUCCGGCACGGAGGAUCGGCUGCCUUUGUGCUCGACCCAAUAAUCUGAUAUAUCAAGACACCAUCCGGAAGAUGGGGGUAGACCCGUCCAGAAUAAGUCAAACUAAAGCCACCUUCAACGGAGUGAUUCCUGGCAUAGUAGCCCACUGCUGGGGCUCCCUCAUAUUAGAAGUAACAUUCGGUUCUCUUGACAACUUCAGAAGCGAGAACCUACUCUUCAACAUCGCCCCCUUCAGCAACGAUUAUCAUGCAUUGCUUGGAAGAACAGCCUUCCCUUGCUUUAACGCAAUAUCGAACUACGCCUGCCUUCAACUCAAGAUGCCCGGUCCAGGCGGCGUCAUCACGGUUAGCGGAAACACAGAGCAGUAUGCGGCAUUUCCUGCUGCCGGACUCUAGGCGGCCUCUGUUGGGGAACGUUGCAUAAAAUAAAAAAAUUCCUACGUUCACCAAGAUCCAUCAAUGAGUUCAUCUAGCAACGAGAGAGAGAGAUGCAUCUACAUACCCUUGUAGAUCGCGUGCGGAAGUGUUCAAGAGAACGGGGUUGAGGUAGUCGUUCUCGUCGUGAUCCUAUCACCGGAGAUCCUAGCACCGAACGGACGGCACCUCCGCGUUCAACACACAUACGUUCAGCAUGACGUCUCCUCCGUAUUGAUCCAGCAAGGAGAAAGGAGAGGUUGAUGAAGAUCCAGCAGCAUGACGGCGUGGUGGUGGAUGCAGCAGGACUCCGGCAGGGCUUCGCCAAGCAACUGCGGGAGGAGGAAGAGGUGUAGCAGGGGGAGGGAGGCGCCAAGACUCAGGGUGCGGCUGCCCUCCCUCCCCCCCCUUUAUAUAGGCCCCCUGGGGGGAGCGCCGGCCCUAGAGAUGGGAAUCUUCCAAGGGGGCGGCGGCCAGGGGGUGGAGUGCCCCCCAAGGCAAGUGGUGCGCCCCCCACCCUAGGGUUUCCAACCCUAGGUGUAGGGGGGCCCAAGGGGGGCGCACCAGCCCACUAGGGGCUGGUUCCCCUCCCACUUCAGCCCACGGGGCCCUCUGGGAUAGGCGGCCCCACCCGGUGGACCCCCGGGACCCUUCCGGUGGUCCCGGUACAAUACCGGGUGACCCCGAAACUUUCCCGAUGGCCGAAACAGCACUUCCUAUAUAUAAUUUUUUACCUCCGGACCAUUCCGGAACUCCUCAUGACGUUAGGGAUCUCAUCCGGGACUCCGAACAACAUUCGGUUUGCUGCAUACUCAUAUUCAUACAACCCUAGGAUCACCGAACCUUAAGUGUGUACACCCUACGGGUUCGGGAGACAUGUAGACAUGACCGAGACGGCUCUCCGUUCAAUAACCAACAGCGGGAUCUGGAUACCCAUGUUGGUUCCCACAUGCUCCUCGAUGAUCUCAUUGGAUGAACCAUGAUGUCGAGGAUUUAAGCAACCCCGUAUACAAUUCCCUUUGUCAAACGGUAUGUUACUUGCCCGAGAUUCGAUCGUCGGUAUCCCAAUACCUCGUUCAAUCUCAUUACCGGCAAGUCACUUUACUCGUACCAUAAUGCAUGAUACUGUGACCAGACACUUGGUCACUUUGAGCUCAUUAUGAUGAUGCACUACCGAGUGGGCCCAGUGAUACCUCUCCGUAAUACGGAGUGACAAAUCCCAGUCUCGAUCCGUGUCAACCCAACAGACACUUUAAGAGAUACCUAUAGUGCACCUUUAUAGUCACCCAGUUACGUUGUGACGUUUGGUACACCCAAAGCACUCCUACGAUAUCCGGGAGUUACACGAUCUCAUGGUCUAAGGAAAAGAUACUUGACAUUGGAAAAGCUCUAGCAAAACGAACUAUACGAUCUUGUGCUAUGCUUAGGAUUGGGUCUUGUCCAUCACAUUAUUCUCCUAAUGAUGUGAUCCCGUUAUCAACGACAUCCAAUGUCCAUAGUCAGGAAACCAUGAAUAUCUGUUGAUCAACGGGCUAGUCAACUAGAGGCUCACUAGGGACAUGUUGUGGUCUAAGUAUUCACACAUGUAUUACGAUUUCCAGAUAAUACAAUUAUAGCAUGAAUAAAAGACAACUAUCAUGAACAAAGAAAUAUAAUAAUAAUCCUUUUAUUAUUGCCUCUAGGGAAUAUUUCCAACAGUCUCCCACUUGCACUAGAGUCAAUAAUCUAGUUACAUUGUGAUGUAUCAAACACCCAUAGAGUUUUGGUGUUGAUCAUGUUUUUCUCGUGGAAGAGGUUUAGUCAACGGAUCUACGACAUUCAGAUCCGUAUGUACUUUGCAAAUAUCUAUGUCUCCAUCUUGAACAUUUUCACGGAUGGAUUUGAAACGACGCUUGAUGUGCCUGGUCUUCUUGUGAAACCUGGGCUCUUUGGCAAGGGCAAUAGCUCCAGUGUUGUCACAGAAGAGAGUGAUCGGCCCCGACGCAUUGGGUAUGACUCCUAGGUCGGUGAUGAACUCCUUCAUCCAUAUUGCUUCAUGCGCUGCCUCCGAGGAUGCCAUGUACUCUGCUUCACAUGUAGAUCCCACCACAACGCUCUGCUUGCAAUUGCACCAGCUUACUGCUCCAUGAUUCAACAUAUACACAUAUCCGGUUUGUGACUUAGAGUCAUCCAGAUCUGUGUCGAAGCUAGCAUCGACGUAACCCUUUACAACGAGCUCUUCGUCACCUCCAUAAACGAGAAACAUGUCCUUUGUCCUUUUCAGGUACUUCAGGAUAUUCUUGACCGCUGUCCAGUGUUCCUUGCCGGGAUUACUUUGGUAUUUUCCUACCAAACAUACGGCAAGGUUUACAUCAGGUCUGAUACACAGCAUGGCAUACAUAAUAGAUCCUAUGGCUGAGGCAUAGGGGAUGACACUCAUCUCUUCUUUAUCUUUUGCCGUGGUUGGGCAUUGAGCCGAGCUCAAUCUCACACCUUGCAAUACAGGCAAGAACCCUUUCUUGGACUGAUCCAUUUUGAACUUCUUCAAAAUCUUAUCAAGGUAUGUGCUUUGUGAAAGACCUAUGAGGCGUCUUGAUCUAUCCCUAUAGAUCUUGAUGCCUAAUAUGUAAGCAGCUUCUUCAAGGUCCUUCAUUGAAAAACACUUAUUUAAGUAGGCCUUAAUGCUGUCCAAGAAUUCUAUAUCAUUUACCAUCAAAAGUAUGUCAUCUACAUAUAAUAUGAGAAAUGCUACAGAGCUCCCACUCACUUUCUUGUAAACGCAGGCUUCUCCAUAAGUCUGCAUAAACCCAAACGCUUUGAUCAUCUCAUCAAAGCGAAUGUUCCAACUCCGAGAUGCUUGCACCAGCCCAUAAAUGGAUCGUUGGAGCUUGCACACCUUGUUAGCAUUCUUAGGAUCGACAAAACCAUCCGGCUGCAUCAUAUACAGCGCUUCCUUAAGAUAACCGUUAAGGAAUGCCAUUUUGACAUCCAUCUGCCAUAUCUCAUAAUCAUAGUAUGCGGCAAUUUCUAACAUGAUUCGGACGGACUUAAGCUUCGCUACGGGAGAGAAAGUCUCAUCGUAGUCAACUCCUUGAACUUGCCGAUAACCCUUAGCGACAAGUCGAGCUUUAUAGAUGGUGACAUUACCAUCCGCGUCUGUCUUCUUCUUAAAGAUCCAUUUGUUUUCUAUCGCUCGCCGAUCAUCGGGCAAGUCAGUCAAAGUCUAUAGUUUGUUUUCAUACAUGGAUUCUAUCUCGGAUUGCAUGGCUUCUAGCCGUUUGUUGGAAUCUGGGCCCGCCAUCGCUUCUUCAUAGUUCGAAGGUUCACCGUUGUCUAACAACAUGAUUUCCAGGACAGGGUUGCCAUACCACUCUGGUGUGGAACGUGUCCUUGUGGACCAACGAAGUUCAGUAGCAACUUGAUCUGAAGUACCUUGAUCAUCAUCAUUAAUUUCCUCUCCAGUCGGUGUAGGCACCACAGGAACAUUUUCCUGAGCUGCACUACUUUCCGGUACAAGAGGUAGUACUUCAUCGAGUUCUACUUUCCUCCCACUUACUCCUUUCGAUAAAAACUCUUUUUCCAGAAAGGAUCCGUUCUUGGCAAUAAAGAUCUUGCCUUCGGAUCUAAGGUAGAAGGUAUACCCAAUGGUUUCCUUAGGGUAUCCUAUGAAGAUGCAUUUUUUCGACUUGGGUUCGAGCUUUUCAGGUUGAAGUUUCUUGACAUAAGCAUCGCAUCCGCAAACUUUUAGAAACGACAGCUUAGGUUUCUUCCCAAACCAUAAUUCAUACAGUGUCGUCUCAACGGAUUUAGACGGUGCCCUAUUUAAAGUGAAUGUAGCUGUCUCUAGAGCGUAUCCCCAAAAUGAUAGUGGUAAAUCGGUAAGAGACAUCAUAGAUCGCACCAUAUCCAAUAGAGUGCGAUUAUGAUGUUCGGACACACCGUUACACUAACAUGUUCCAGGUGGCGUGAGUUGUGAAAUGAUUCCACAUUUCCUUAAGUGCGUACCAAAUUCGUGACUUAAAUAUUCUCCUCCACAAUCCGAUCGUAAGAAUUUUAUCUUUUGGUCACGCUGAUUCUCUACUUCAUUCUGAAAUUCCUUGAACUUUUCAAAGGUCUCAGACUUGUGUUUCAUCAAGUACACAUACCCAUAUCUACUUAAGUCAUCAGUGAGAGUGAGAACAUAACAAUAUCCUCCGCGAGCCUCAACGCUCAUCGAACCACACACAUCAGUAUGUAUGAUUUCCAAUAAGUUGGUUGCUCGCUCCAUUGUUCCAGAGAACGGAGUCUUGGUCAUUUUUCCCAUGAGGCAUGGUUCACAUGUGUCAAAUGAUUCAUAAUCAAGAGACUCUAAAAGUCCAUCAGCAUGGAGCUUCUUCAUGCGCUUGACACCAAUGUGACCAAGGCGGCAGUGCCACAAGUAUGUGGGACUAUCGUUAUCAACUUUACAUCUUUUGGUAUUCACACUAUGAAUAUGUGUAACAUUAUGUUCAAGAUUCAUUAAGAAUAAACCAUUGACCAUCGGGGCAUGACCAUAAAACAUAUCUCUCAUAUAAAUAGAACAACCAUUAUUCUCGGAUUUAAAUGAGUAGCCAUCUCGUAUUAAACAAGAUCCAGAUACAAUGUUCAUGCUCAAACUUGGCACUAAAUAACAAUUAUUGAGGCUCAUAACUAACCCCGUGGGUAAAUGUAGAGGUAACAUGCCGACGGCGAUCACAUCGACCUUGGAACCAUUCCCGACGCGCAUCGUCACCUCGUCCUUCACCUGUCUCCGCUUAUUCCGCAGCUCCUGCUGUGAGUUACAAAUGUGAGCAACGGCACCGGUAUCAAAUACCCAGGAGUUACUACGAGUACUGGUAAGGUACACAUCAAUUACAUGUAUAUCACAUAUACCUUUAGUGUUGCCGGCCUUCUUGUCCGCUAAGUAUUUGGGGCAGUUCCGCUUCCAGUGACCCUUCCCUUGCAAUAAAAGCACUCAGUCUCAGGCUUGGGUCCAUUCUUUCACUUCUUUCCAGCAACUGGCUUGCCGGGAGUGGCAACAUCUUUGCCGUCCUUCUUGAUGUUCUUCUUACCCUUGCCCUUCUUGAACUUGGUGGUUUUAUUGACCAUCAACACUUGAUGUUCUUUCUUGAUUUCAACCUCUGCUGACUUCAGCAUUGAGAAUACUUCAGGAAUGGUCUUCACCAUCCCCUGCAUAUUGUAGUUCAUCACAAAGCUCUUGUAGCUCGGUGGGAGCGACUAAAGGAUUCUGUCAAUGACCGCCUCGUCCGGGAGGUUAAUGUCCAGCUGGGAUAGGCAGUUGUGCAACCCAGACAUUUUGAGUAUGUGCUCACUGACAGAACUAUUUUCCUCCAUCUUACAACUAUAGAACUUGUCGAAGACUUCAUAUCUCUCGACCCGGGCAUGAGCUAGAAAAACCAUUUUCAGCUCCUCGAACAUCUCAUAUGCUUCGUGUUGCUCAAAACGCUUUUGGAGCCCCGGUUCUAAGCUGUAAAGCAUGCUGCACUGAACGAGGGAGUAAUCAUCAGCACGUGACUGCCAAGCGUUCAUAACGUCUUGGUUCUCUGGGAUGGGUGCUUCACCUAGUGGUCCUUCUAGGACAUAUGCUUUCUUGGCUGCUAUGAGGAUGAUCCACAGGUUCCGGACCCAGUCCAAAUAAUUGCUGCCAUCAUCUUUCAGCUUGGUUUUCUCUAGGAACGCGUUGAAGUUCAUGUUGACAUGAGCGUUGGCCAUUUGAUCUACAAGACAUAUUUUGCAAAGAUUUUAGACUAAGUUCAUGAUAAUUUAGUUCAUCUAAUCAAAUUAUUUAAUGAGCUCCCACUCUGAUUGACAUCCCUCUUGUCAUCUAAGUGUUACACGAUUCGAGUCGACUAGGCCGUGCCCGAUCAUCACGUGAGACGGACUAGUCAUCAUCGGUGAACAUCUCCAUGUUGAUCGUAUCUUCCAUACGACUCAUGUUCGACCUUUUGGUCUCUUGUGUUCCGAGGCCAUGUCUGUACAUGCUAGGCUCGUCAAGUUAACCCUAAGUGUUUUGCAUGUGUAAAACUGUCUUACACCUGUUGUAUGUGAACGUAAGGAUCUAUCACACGCGAUCAUCACGUGGUGCUUUGAAACGAUGAACUUUAGCAAUGACGCACAGUUAGGGGGAACACUUUCUUGAAAUUAUUAUAAGGGAUCAUCUUAUUUACUACCGACGUUCUAAGUAAACAAGAUGCAUAAAACAUAAUAAACAUCACAUGCAAUUAUAUAAAGUAGUGACAUGAUAUGGCCAAUAUCAUAUAGCUCCUUCGAUCUCCAUCUUCGGGGCUCCAGGAUCAUAUUCGUCACCGGCAUGACACCAUGAUCUCCAUCAUCAUGAUCUCCAUCAUCGUGCCUCCAUGAAGUUGCUCGCCAACUAUUACUUCUACUACUAUGGCUAACGGUUUAGCAAUUAAGUAAAGUAAUUACAUGGCGUUAAAUCAUUGACACACAGGUCAUACAAUAAUUAAUACAACUCCUAUGGCUCCUUCCGGUUGUCAUACUCAUCGACAUGCAAGUCGUGAUUCCUAUUACAAGAACAUGAUCUCAUACAUCACAAUAUAUCAUUCAUCAUUCAUCACAACUUUUGGCCAUAUCACAUCACAAAGCAAUUGCUGCAAAAACAAGUUAGACGUCCUCUAAUUGUUGUUGCAUCUUUUACGUGGCUGCAAUUGGGUUCCAGCAAGAACGUUUUCUUACCUACGAAUAACCACAACGUGAUUUUGUCAACUUCUAUUUACCCUUCAUAAGGACCCUUUUCAUCGAAUCCACUCCAACUAAAGUAGGAGAGACAGACACCCGCUAGCCACCUUAUGCAACUAGUGCAUAUCAUUCGGUGGAACCUGUCUCACGUAAGCAUACGUGUAAGGUCGGUCCGGGCUGCUUCAUCCCACAAUACCGCUGAAGCAAGAAAAGACUAGUAGUGGCAAGCAAGUUGACAAGAUCUACGCCCACAACAGAUUUGUGUUCUACUCGUGCAAUUGAGAACUACGCAUAGACCUAGCUCAUGAUGUCACUGUUGGGGAACGUUGCAUAAAAUAAAAAAAUUCCUACAUUCACCAAGAUCCAUCUAUGAGUUCAUCUCGCAACGAGAGAGAGAGAUGCAUCUACAUACCCUUGUAGAUCGCGUGCGGAAGCGUUCAAGAGAACGGGGUUGAGGUAGUCGUUCUCGUCGUGAUCCUAUCACCGGAGAUCCUAGCGCCGAACGGACGGCACCUCCGCGUUCAACACACGUACGGUCAGCGUGACGUCUCCUCCGUAUUGAUUCAGCAAGGGGAAAGGAGAGGUUGAUGAAGAUCCAGCAGCACGACGGUGUGGUGGUGGAUGCAGUAGGACUCCGGCAGGGCUUCGCCAAGCAACUGCGGGAGGAGGAAGAGGUGUAGCAAGGGGAGGGAGGCGGCAAGACUCAGGGUGCGGCUGCCCUCCCUCCCCCCUCCUUUAUAUAGGCCCCUUGGGGGGGUGCCAGCCCUGGAGAUGGGAAUCUCCCAAGGGGGCGGCGGCCAGGGGGGUGGAGUGCCCCCCAAGGCAAGUGGUGCGCCCCCCACCCUAGGGUUUCUAACCCUAGCCGCAGGGGGGCCCCAAGGGGGGGCGCACCAGCCCACUAGGGGCUGGUUCCCCUCCGACUUCAGCCCACGGGGCCCUCCGGGAUAGGUGGCCCCACCCGAUGGACUCCUGGGACCCUUCUGGUGGUCCCGGUACAAUACGGGGUGACCCCGAAACUUUCCCGAUGGCCGAAACAGCACUUCCUAUAUAUAAUGAUUUACCUCCGGACCAUUCCAGAACUCCAAGUGACGUCCGGGAUCUCAUCCGGGACUCCGAACAACAUUCGGUUUGCUGCAUACUCAUAUUCAUACAACCCUAGCGUCACCGAACCUUAAGUGUGUAGACCCUACGGGUUCGGGAGACAUGUAGACAUGACCGAGACGGCUCUCCGGUCAAUAACCAACAGCGGGAUCUGGAUACCCAUGUUGGUUCCCACAUGCUCCUCGAUGAUCUCAUCGGAUGAACCACGAUGUUGAGGAUUUAAGCAACCCCGUAUACAAUUCCCUUUGUCAAACGGUAUGUUACUUGACCGAGAUUCGAUCGUCGGUAUCCCAAUACCUCGUUCAAUCUCGUUACCGGCAAGUCACUUUACUCGUACCGUAAUGCAUGAUCCCGUGGCCAGACACUUGGUCACUUUGAGCUCAUUAUGAUGAUGCACUACCGAGUGGGCCCAGUGAUACCUCUCCGUAAUACAGAGUGACAAAUCCUAGUCUCGAUCUGUGUCAACCCAACAGACACUUUCAGAGAUACCUGUAGUGCACCUUUAUAGUCACCCAGUUACAUUGUGACGUUUGGUACACCCAAAGCACUCCUACGGUAUCCGGGAGUUACACGAUCUCAUGGUCUAAGGAAAAGAUACCUGACAUUGGAAAAGCUCUAGCAAAACGAACUAUACGAUCUUGUGCUAUGCUUAGAUUGGGUCUUGUCCAUCACAUUAUUCUCCUAAUGAUGUGAUCCCGUUAUCAAAGACAUCCAAUGUCCAUAGUCAGGAAACCAUGACUAUCUGUUGAUCAACGAGCUAGUCAACUAGAGGCUCACUAGGGACAUGUUGUGGUCUAAGUAUUCAACGUGUAUUACGAUUUCCGGAUAAUACAAUUAUAGCAUGAAUAAAAGACAACAAUCAUGAACAAAGAAAUAUAAUAAUAAUCCUUUUAUUAUUGCCUCUAGGGCAUAUUUCCAACCGCCUCUCCCACCGGAACGCAUGAUCGGUUGUCAAGACCACGGACACGGUUAGACGAGUCCAAUACAUUAUUUUUCACAAAUGGCUCGGCUAAAGCUGAGCCAGGAGUUGUACAUGUGUCCCCAUAAAUAAUACGAGGGGCUGCAAACAUGUAACACAAGCCCACAAUUCGGCUUGCCUUGUUAACAGGCCGGAUCUCGAACAUUUCUCGAGCAUAACUAACUUUUCGCACGUUUUCAUUUUCUUUCGUUCUUACAGACACUACUAGUGCGACACCCUUCCAGGAUAUGGCACAACGGAGACACAGGCGCAGACGUGCAGCACGGCCCCACCCACAGGUUUCUCUUUAGAUUAAGCCCCUGCAUAAACCUUGUUUACUGUCUCUUGUUGCUCAACAUACCAUGGGUAUUUCAUAAACCUAUAAGGGACAUUGGCGUCUUAGGCUUUUGGCCACGACAGAUCAAUGCGCGUACCUGGAAUCACAUGGUCAAGGGCAUUAUUCAGCCCAAUAUAUGUUAUAAAGUCCGAAUACCUUCGGGAGUGUUCGGCGUCAUGAGUUUGGCCUUAUACGCAUCAGCUCCGAAUCAUGUCUUUGGUCAAAAGUUGGGUUAGCCCGGCUCCUGGGUUUGCUGCCUUACGCUCCGUUCUAUUGGCUAAGGCGACCAAAGGAGAACUGUCGGUGUUCUGGGAAUGGGGGUCCCCAGACUUGCCUGCCUGCGGCCUACGGCGUGGAUAAAGGGGUGGCCCAGCACGACCCAUCUCCAUCAGCAUGAGCUCAAGACCCUCGCGAGGGGCCAAGCCUCGUGGGGUGGGCGGCAGGAAGUUUCCUCAAGCAUGGCCUCGUUAGGCUGGCUCGCGAGGAGGCGGAGAGAUCAAGGCGGGGCACCUCGCGAGGUGCCCAUGAAGCAAGCCAUGACGACCAAGGGCGCCAGGCGGGCCCCAGCCCGUGCAGUGUCCUCCUUUCCUCUUUGGUGCAAAGGGAGCAAGCGCAGGCGAGAGCAUCAAGCAAAGGCAUCCAUUUCGGUGCAACAAGACCAAGACUGUCGCAAUGGCAGGAAGGAAGUCAUUGUGGAGCCCAAGCCGGCGUCAACAUCAGAGCCUUUGACAGGUGAGGACCAACUUUAGUCAUGAUAAGUGUACUAGAUGUUCCCCUUCAAAAUGGCCAAUUGUUGGUGCCCUUCCCGCUCGAUAAUUGGGAAGAGGCUCAGGGUCUUUGCCUAUAAAUAGGACUAGCCACUCUCAAGGCAGGGGAUCGACGCAUCGAACCUUAGCCAGAACCACCAAUGCAAGAACCCUUCCCCUCGCGAGGCUGUUCUUCCUUGUAUUGUUCAUCAUUAGCCCAAGAGGCAAUCCACCACACCACAAACUAGAGUAGGUUUUUACACCACAAUGGUGGCCCAAACUAGUAUAAACCCUGUGUCUCUUGUGUUUCUCUUUUCAUAGCUUUGAUCCUAGCGAGGUUGUGAGGUGCAGGUACGUAGAGGGCGAAAUCUCCGUGCGCACCCCAGUGUUUGAAUCUAGAGGGUCUGCCGGAACCCAAAAUCCGACAUUUGGCACGCCAGGUAGGGGUGUGUCGAGGCUUUUCCUUCCACCGACCCGCUCUCCGUCGACACCGCGACUCGCCCUGCGAUGAGCAGCGCGCCGCCUGCUCCGGUCGUCGCGGCCCUCCUGGGCGGCUCGCAGCCACCACCUUCAGGCUGCCGCGUCAAGCCAUUCGUCCGCCAGGUCGGCGCUACCUCCACGCGAUAGGGGGCUCCCUCAGGUCGGUCGGCGCUCAAGGCCGAUCUGGCCUUCAGCUCGGAGGACCACCCCUCCAACUCAGCCUGCUCGGGCGUGCUCCCGAUGCUGUGCACCCCCACCAUCUGCUAGGUGGCCGUCACCAGGACUCUCAUCAACGGCGGCUCGGGCCUCAGCGUGCUCUCGAUUGAAGCCUUCAGCCUCCUCCACAUACCACCGGAGCGGCUUCAGCCCAGCCGGCCCUUCUUGGGUGUUGGGGGCGGGUCAUCCAGCUCUCUGGGGCAGAUCCGUCUCCCGGUAACCUUCGGCACAUACGACAACUUCCGCACGGAGCUAAUCGACUUCGGCAUCGCCCCCAUCGGCCUCCCGUACAAUGCCAUCUUCGGCUACCCAGCGCUGGCCCGAUUCAUGGCCGCGACUCACCCGACAUACAACCUCAUGAAAAUGCCCGGGAGCAGCGGCGUCCUCACCAUGUGCGAAGACACCGGGGAUGCGUUGCAAGCGCUCAAGCUCUCCUUUAAGGCGGCGGCUUCGGCGCAGCCUGCCGACUCGGACGCCCCUGAGCCCAAGGGGGCAGCGCCAGCCAAGAAGAAGCAGUUGUUCACCCAAGACAAGGCAGAAACCAAACAGAUGUUAGUUGACGAGGAUGGAUCCACUGACGCCACCUUCACCAUAGGCGCCAACCUCGAGCCCGAGCAGGAAGAGGCCCUGAUCAAGUUCCUGCGCGCGAACAAGAAGGUAUUCGUGUGGGAGCCCGAUCAGCUGGAGGGGAUCCCUAGAGGCGUAAUCGAGCACCACCUCAACGUGUGCCCCAAUGUCCACCCCGUGAAGCAGAAAGUAAGACGGCAGUCCAUAGAAAAGCAGGCUUUCAUCGUCCAAGAGACCCGCAAGUUGGAAGCUGCAGGGGUCAUUCGUGAGGUCCGAUACCCGGAUUGGUUGGCCAACCCAGUCGUUGUGCCAAAGAAAGGGGGGAAGGAACGUAUGUGUGUCGACUUCACCAACCUCAACAAAGCUUGACCGCAAGAUCCGUUCCCGCUCCCCCGCAUUGAUCAGAUCAUUGACUCCACCACCGAGUGCGACCUGUUAUGUUUCUUGGAUGCCUUCUCUGGGUAUCACCAGAUCAAGAUGGCGGUAGAAGAUGUGGAAAAAACGGCCUUUAUAACCCCAUGUGGGGUAUACUGCUACACAUGCAUGCCGUUCGGACUGCGCAAUGCAGGGGCGACCAUUCAGCAGCUGAUGCACAUCACCUUGGGCCCCCAGCUCAGGAAAAACGUCGAGGCUUACAUUGAUGACAUUGUGGUGAAGUCUCGCGAGGCCAAGACCCUGAUACAACACCUGGAGGAAACCUUCGCGAGCCUCAACGCUGUGAGCCUGCAGCUCAACCCAGAGAAGUGUGUGUUUGGGGUCCCCUCAGGCAAGCUCUUGGGCUUCCUCGUGUCUCACCGAGGCAUCGAGGCUAACCCAGAAAAGGUCAAGGCGGUCGAGGACAUGAGCCUGCCAAAGACCCUCAGAGAAAUGCAGAAGCGCACUGGGCGUGUGACGGCACUAGGACGCUUCAUCUCCAAGUUGGGGGAGCGAGCAUUGCCUUUCUUCCAGCUGAUGAAGAAAAAGGGACCCUUUGAAUGGACUGAAGAGGCCGCCUCAAUUUGGCACAUUCAGCGGCCUGGUCUAUUGCCGAACCCUUAGCAACCUACACAUCAAUACAAGUGCGAUCAUUAUCUAGGAGUAUGAUCCUCCGUUUGCCGCCAUGGGCUGACAUCCACAGUCUCUGGGGCUAUUAUCUAUACAGAGCGCAUGUAUCGCAUGCGGUACAAAAACUGCGUAUUUUUGCUGCUUUCCUCAAAGCCUUUAAGCAGGCUCCUGAAGGCUUCAUUCAAACCGCUUGUGGCGAAGGAGAUUUUCUCCAACGCCGUACCCAUUAAUGUAUGAUGAUCCUCCAAGAGAGCAGCUGACUCCAGGAGGCCCAUCAGCGUGUUCAGCCAGACACCGGACUCUCCCGGACCCUUUUCAUUGUCCGCCACGGGAGCCAAACGCGUUGGGCUCGGGGCAGCCGAAGUGUUAGCUUCCGGCCCCAUUGGAUCUGGACUCCUCUGUGAUGAUACCUCUGGGUCGCCCGCUUCAUGGGAUGGAGAAGCAGGUGGGGUUUCACUCCCCAUCAUCUCCGGAAGAAGAUCCCCCGAGGACGAGCCCUGUUGAGAUGAACUGCUGACCGGACUGCAAAAAACAGGUUCCGGUUAUUACUCUCAGAGGACAAAGCAAUACGUUCCUUGUUUAAUUAGACUUACAGCUCGAUGGAGGAUUGGCCCGUUUGCGGGCAUUGUGCGGUGAGGACGCCAUUCGGGGCAGGGCCCUUUGGUGAAGUUCUCUUCCCUUGUUUAGGCGCCCCCGUCUCCAAAUCUUUGGAGGCGGCCCUCUUCCUCCCGCGGUGGGAGGAAACCUCAGAUUUGCCUCCCCGAUUCUCCUCCUCCGUGGAGGCGCUAAUUCCCCUGUUUGGAUGCGCAAUAUGUGAGGCCCACUCUUAGCCUCCCCACUCUUCCCUUCAGCUUUCUCUGGUGGCACCUGACUUAGUGUCCGUUUAAAGAUCCUGGCCAUUGCCGGGCCAGGCGAACCUUCGGGAAGAGGGGCCGGACACCUGAUCCUCUCCGCCUUACUAAGCCAAGCCUGGUUGCGGACAGCGUUCAGAACAAUGCUAUGACAAAUAUAAGCAAGGUGUUCGGUUAUAGGGUUACUUACUUGGGUAUCAAGGCGAUUGCAGCUCAGGCCCACAUCCUUGGUGGUGUCCGGACACUUUAUUCGUGGUCCGAAGAACAACUUAUACAUCCCUUCGGGCGUCGUGCUGAAGAAGUGCUGAAUGGUUCGCAGACCUUCUGGAUUGAAUUCCCACAUCCAGAGAGGCCGACGUUUGCACGGCAGGAUCUGCCAAACUAGCAUUACUUGGAUUAUUUUGACGAGACUAAUGUCCCUCUAGAGGAGCUCCCGAAUGCGGCUUUGUAUCAUUGAUACAUUGUUCGCAGGCCCCCAGUUUAGUCCCACAUUGGCCCACGAUGCUACUUGUGGUGGAGGGACCGAGCGAAAGGCAGGCGCGGCCACCCACUUCGAGCCUCGAGGAGCUGUGACAUAGAACCGCCUCCGUUGCCAUAAAUCGGAUACCUUCGGGAAGGAGCCUUCGGGCCACGGGGCAUCGACGUUCCUACUUAUUAUGGCAUCUCGGCACUCUACGUGUCGCCCCUCAAUCAUCUUCGGCUUCAUAUUGAAAGUCUUGAGCCAUAAGCCGAAGUGGGGGGUGAUGUGGAGAAAGGCUUCACACACAACGAUAAAUGACGAGAUGUGGAGGAUGGAAUCCGGAGCUAGAUCGUGGGAAUUCUUGCCCGUAGUAGAACAUGAGCCCCAUCACAAAGGGAUCAAGAGUGAGACCUAAGCCCCGGAGGAAGUGGGAGACAAAUACAAUGCUCUCGUUGGUCUAGGGAGUGUGGAUAACCUGUUAGGGAGCAAGAAGCCUAUGCUUGACAUCGGCGAUCAAAUACCCAGCCUCCCUGAGCUUCGCAAUAUCGUCCUCUGUGACAGAGGAAGCCAUUCAUCGGCCUUGAUGGUCAGAUCCGGACAUGAUCGAAGAUCCGGGGUGUUUAAGCUCGAGCUUUGGGUGUUGGAACUCAGGGUGCGAGAUGUGCGAGCAUGGAGAUAGAGGGAUAGGCCUCGACUCCUUUAUAAAGGGGGAAGAAUAUCAAGCGUCCCCGAACGUGGUCGUUCGGGACUUGCCUAAAAACACGGGGUCCCGUUACUACAGGAUUCUUAUCAAUACGGGUAUGGGUAAUCCAACCAUGCCUAAUAUCAACCGUGGAUUACCGAUACCCGUAUUGAUGAGAAUCCCGUAGUAAGGGAGACACGAUCUCUGCUCUGACAGGACGUGCCAAGGAAACCGCCUCGUGGUGUGUGCAGUAGCAAGUCAUAAAAACGGUUCGAAUAAAAACUACACCAUGGCGUGAUGUCACUUUUCGAAGAAUUGUAAGUAGAUUAGAUUCAUGGAUUAUUUUUAUUCUCUCUACGAUGGCAUACGGAAUUUAUCUUGCAGAGCCGGACACGGUCCUUGUGUUCAGAAUUUAUCUUGGAGUAUUCGGAGAUGGAACCCGCCUCGCAAUGCCGAAGACAAUCGACGUGUCGGACUCAUCGUUAUUGAAACCUGGUUCAGGGUCUACUGAGGGAGUCCUGGAUAAGGGGGUAUCCGGACAGCCGUACUAUGUACUUUGGCCGGACUGUUGGACUGUGAAGAUACAAGAUUGAAGACUUUGUCCCGUGUCCAGAUGGGACUCUCCUUGGCAUGGAAGGCAAGCUUGGCGAUUCGGAUGCAGAUCUCCUCCUCUGUAAACUGACUCUGUGUAACCCUAGCCCUCUUCGGUGUCUAUAUAAACCAGAGGGUUUAGUCCGUAGGACACAACCAAUAACAACAAUCAUGCCAUAGGCUAGCUUCUAGGGUUUAGGCUCUCAGAUCUUGUGGUAGAUCAACUCUUGUAAUACUCAUAUCAUCAAGAUCAAUCAAGUAGGAAGUAGGGUAUUACCUCCAUCGAGAGGGCCCGAACCUGGGUAAACAUCGUGUCCCCAGCCUCCUAUUACCAUUAGCCUUAGACGCAUAGUUCGGGACCCCCUACCCGAGAUCCGCCGGUUUUGACACCGAUAGCGCCCUUGCUCUGUUUCGAGUCUGCUCAAGAGUUCGAGUGGCUGCGCUAAGAGCGGCAAGGUGUCUCACUGGCAGCGACACCCCCAGCAUGUUGCUAAGGAUAUGUUCCUCAAAGCGCUUGCUACAAGGGUGUGUGCACCGGAAAGUUCUUUUUCCAAUAAAGCGUAGGGUGUAUGCCAUACAAAGAGAGAUCAAACUAGAAACAUAGCAUGCAUUCAUCCAAAACACAACAAGUUAUAUUACGUCAGUGGUUGCCACAGUUCUAACUUAAGGUAGAUGGUCUUGGGUACGAGUUCGUGGCAGCAAGGAGAAGCGAAGCGGCUAGUCCCUGCGCUGGCCUUCCACCCUCUUGACUUGGUCCACCACAUCAACGAUAGGAGCAACGAGCUCCUCAAGCGCCUUGCGGUCCGCAUCCUCUGGCAAGCUCUCAAGCACGUUGGUGAGGUCGAGGUCGGGGUUCCAGUACGCCACCUUGGUGAGCGCCUUAAGAAGGAUGGCCCAACAAAGCUUGCGGGUUUUGUUGACCAGUUGGGUUGCUCGGCCAGUGUGGAGCAGCUUCAGGGCGUCAAGAAGGGCCUCAAAGAACAUGGCCAGUCUGGCGCUCGAAGUUAUCCUCUCAUCGCGAGAAUACCUGAAACUUGACAGGCCCAUGGUGGAUAGUUGUGUUGUGAGCCUCUUUGCGACGCCGAUCAGGCGCUCAGUCCAGAUCCCCAUGCCUUUCACAUAGUCGUUGUAGGUGGCGACGACGCUCUCAAGAAGUUUCUUCUAUUCCCGGAGGUCCUUGGCCAGGGUCUUCUCACGAGCCCUUCCUCCCUCAAGGGACUCCUCCAGUGUGGUCAGCUUCAGCCUCAAAUCGGCAAUGGAGUCAUCGGCGGCAGAGAUCUGGUUGGUCUUCUCAGAUAUGGUGACCUGCAACUCUGCCAAGGUGUAGGAAGUUUUCUCUCUGUCGCUCUUGAGAGUCGAGACCUCCUUGCUGUGCUUAUCCAGAUCCACCUCCAGUUUCUCCACCUUCCUAGCCAGCUCAUUCUUGGUGGCCUUUGCGACUUCAGCGGCGUCGACAACUUUCUUCAACUUGCUAGCGUGAUCCAUGACCAGAGCGUCGAGUGUGUCCUUAUGCUUUUGUUUCAGCUCCUGGAUCCGCUGUGCGACAAGUUUUUCAAUUUCUUCAUCCUUUCCGCGGAGCUUGUUGGCAAGUGCCCCUUCACGAGUGGCAAGGUCCUCUUCUUAAGCGUCGAGAAGGACACAAUGCUCCCUUAGUUGGGCAUCAUCCUUGGCGGCCUAUGCAGCGGCCUCGUCCUGGGCCUUCUCAACAUCGGACUGCUUCAGGAUGAGCUUGUUCCAAUGAUGGCUCAGCUACUCUUGGCUAGUCUUCAGCUCCUACCGGGCUUCGGCAAACCAGACCUGCAUCUGCUCGACGCACUUCUGAAAGUCUGCCUCUACCGCAUCGACAACUGCCACCCUGGAUUCUAGUUUCUCCUUGUAGGCAUGGUGAAGCGCCUGGAGUUUUUGAAAGUUGCUACUCAUGGCUUGGAGGAGCCAGUCUUCCUUGGAACUGCUGUUGUUGGCGCUCGGCUCGUCGACAACCUUGAGCCCAGCGGCGACAAUGAAUUUUCGUCAAAAACCUCCCCCUCGGUUGGCACUCCGGUGCUUGCCAUCCCCGAGAUGCUGACGAACAGAUCGUCACCUACCUUCAGAUAUCUGCUUAGGGUGGGGGCUUCGGAAGUUGACGGUGGUCGUCGACCAUCGUCUCCCCGGCAGCUGAGGACUCCGAGACCGAUGUAGCAUCAGGCGCUCCUGCGGCACGGUUGCUGUCAGUACGGUCGCCGGUCUCCUUGACGGCCCCCCCGGUAGACCCCUUGGUGGUCUCUUCAUGCACGUCCUUGGCGGCCUCGUCGGCAACGACUUUGGCGGCCUCGGCAACAGCAUCCUUGGCGGUCUCGUCCAUGAUGGCGUUGAUGUCCGUCUGGUCCGUCAAAGGGAGAUCUGAAAACCAAAAAGGGGAACAAGGAAAAACCAAAGCUUAAGCUCAAAGCGGAAAGAGAAGGAAGGAAAUUCAUAUAGAAAGAAUGGCGAGUGCCAGGAAGCAGGCGGCUUACCUGUGACGAGCUGUAGAGGGGUGGUUCCCUCCCCGACAACGCUUGUUGCCGGUAUGGAGCUGCCGACGCCUGUGCUCGCAGGCUCUUCCUCCACGCGUGUGGGCUCGUCGAUGGAAGCCCUUGCCAUGGACCCCUCCCUGGGUGGUGUGGUUGAUGGAGGCGGCAUGUCGGGGGUGGCCCUCAGCGGCUCCUCCGGUUACCGUUCUUCUCCUACGAACCCAACAAGGUUAGCAGUGAAGAUGCACACCCCGACACUCACUAGCAAAAAAUGAGUAACGGGCUCACGCUGGGUGCUGGGUUGGGGGUUGUGUUGUGGGCUGAGAUCCGGGCUGAUCAUGAUCGUCUUCGGUGCACCUAAGGUGCUUGCCGGGGGCUCGUCUCCUGUCGAGGUCUUGGUCUUCUUUGACAUCCUCUGUGCCAACGUUUCCGUGUCGCUGCGGAGACAAGCCAAGGAAAGAUCAAGUCAGAUAAGAAAACCAAAAUAGAGGCCGAGGGGAUGAAGAAAGCAGCAAGAUACUUACUUGUGUUCUUCUUCUGGCCUCCUCUUUCUCUUCGGGCUGAACGACGAGUGGUCGAAGUCGGCCUCCAGUAUGGUGUCCAUGCAAGGGGGGAGAUGGAGACCUGGGCCACUUGGCCGUGGCGGAGGCGGCGGCUGCUGCUUCCUUUGUCACCGCGGUCAUGCGCCUUAUAUGGCGCAUAUGUUGCGGUUGGGCCUCCUUCCGCUGCGCGGCCUUGCUGGCCGCCCCCUUGACGGGGACCUCUUCGCGCGAGGAGGUUUGGAAAUCUGGCUCGACGUAGCCAACCCGCCAGAGGACGCAUUUCUUCGUCCCCAGGACUAGGGGAUCCUCAUGCAACUCCUCUUCAGCUUCCUCUUCAGUCGUCUCUUCAGCUCUCCCCUCGGCAGAAGGGCCUCUGGUGGCGGUGCCAUUGUGCUCUCCGGUAGGCUCCCUCCGCUCGACAAAGUCUUACUCUGUGUCGGCCUCAUCUUCCCGGAAGCCGACACUGUCGGCCGCCUCGGCAAGGGCCAGCUCUUCCGCCCCGCUGGCGAUGUACGCCAAUUCCUCGUCAGUGGUGUCAUGGAUGAGGUUCGUCUCUUCCCGGAUGGCCUUCUCCGUCAAAGAGCUCUUGUGCCCGCUCUUCGGAUGGCUCGUCCCAAGUCUAAUCAAGGCCAUGGGAAUUGAACACCGCCAUCAUGGCGAUGAUCGAGUUCAGCGCCGAGUUGUUGAACAGAGGGACGAUGCCUGCCGGCAACUUGAACUUGUCGUCCGGCCUGAACAGCUUGUGACAGGGCGCGGCAUGCUGAAGGACCGUCCAGUUGUUGUUUAAGCCGGGGGAAACCUCAUGAUAUCCGCUAUGUUCCGGUACUCCCAAGCUGGUCUCCCCUUGUUCUGCUGAGGGCCGAUGUGGCAGCGGCGGAAAUCAGCGCCGACCAUUUCAAUGGUAAGCUCGGCAGCCUUGAGGCAAUGGAUCUUGUUGACGGAGAUUGCGAGCUUCUCGUCUUGAGGAUGGAGGGCGCUCCAGCCAUUGCCACAGGUCGGCAUCAUUUACCGGAGUGAGCAGAACAGGUGUGGCUCUUCCUCUGUGAUCCAGCACCAUCUGCUCCGCCACUCGUCCCACGUCUCGUGGUAAUCCCCAUCCGGGUAUGUGUCCUUGCUCCCCGCCCUAGGAAUCCAAGCGAUUCUGCUAGAAAGGGCCUCUCCGGCCUGGAUGCGAGGGAUGAAGAAAUGGAGGAAAAGGGCUAUGUGGGGGAUCACCUCGGAAAAGUUUUCGCAAAGACGAGCAAAGACAGACGUACAUGUUACUGCAUUUGGCAUAAAAUCAAGGAUAUGGAAGCCAAAUGUGAACAUGAUGUCAUUGAAAAAACGGAGAAAGGGGGCAGAGCCCGCAAUAGAAAUAGUCUGCAAAGUAGGGGAAUUUAUUUGCCCCCCCUCGAAUUUGGCGACUGGGGUCACACGAGUGGAGGGAUGCCCACUUGUCGCCCUUCCCCACAUGCACAGGUACCUGUCCCUCAGGGCGUACGCGUCGAGCAGCGGGGGGAAGACAGUGAGGUGCUUCCACAUCUUCGCCAGUUAGCUCUCUGGCACGCCCUUGCCCUUGUUCGCCUUGGGCACCUCUUUGCACUUACUCAUUUUGAACGCCAUGGCGACUGGGGGAGGAGAGAACCGAAGACGAUGGGAGUGUGGAAGGAGCGGUGGAUGAGAAAGCUAAAUUUCAGGCUCAAGGAAGAAGAAGACGGAGGCUCCUAGAUUGGAAGGGCGAAAGGUAAAUGAGCGGCGCCUCUACGGAUUCUCCUUUUUAUGGGGAAGGCGCGAGGCCGCCCCCUUACUGUUUGAUGUGAAAACACUCGCGCGAACGUGCUACUGCUGCUGCCGUUCCACGCACGCAUCACAUGUUCCAAACCCAAUGCGGGUCAUGGGGAAGCGCAUCGGACGAGAUAAUUACAUCAGUUAAUCCCUACCACGCAUGUCCAUGCAUUGUUUUGGCCUAGCCCAACAACGCCUCGCGCUCAUGUGUGCCCAGGCCCGGGGGCUCCUGUCGGUGUACUAAAGUUUGGGCCUUUCUUAGUACCCCAUACUUGUGCACGGGCAGUUCCAGCCUCACCCGUGGCAAGCCCUGACGGGGACAGCUGGAAGCAAGUGCAAGACGACCAAGACGGCAUUUAGGUUAAUAAAUAAAGAACAGAAGACAAGCUGAGCUCCCGGCAAGAUCCUUGCCGGGAUGGCUCGCAAAGCCCCGGCAAGAUCCUUGUUGGGAUGGUCUGCGAAGCACCAGCAAGACCAUCACCCUUGAAGUUGAGAGCUCUGACACCAUCGACAAAGUCAAGACCAAGAUCCAGAGGCAUCUGCAUGGAGGUUGAUACGUCUCCAACGUAUCUAUAAUUUAUGAAGUAUUCGUGCCAUGUAUAUAAUAUUUUUACAUGAUUUUGGUAUGAUUUGAUUAGAACUAACCCGUACUGAUGCCGUUCUCAGCAGAACUACCGAAGUGUUAUUUUUGUGCAGAAAUAAAAUUUCUCGGAAUGCGCUGAAAAUUAACGGAGAAUAUUUUUGGAAAAUAUAAAAAAUACUAGAACAAAAAUCUAUAGGAGGGGAGUCCCGAGGGCACCACGAGGGUGGAGGGCACGCACCCCUGCCUUGUAGAAUCCCCAUGGGCCCCCUUGACGUGAAAUCAACGCCAACUCCUCCUAUAAAUCAAGAAAACCCUAGAACAAAAGAGAGAUCAGAAGUUCUGCUACCGCAAGCCUCUGUAGCCACAAGAAAUCAAUCUAGGCCCUCUCUAGCACCCUGCCGGAGGGGGCCAUCAUCACCGAAGGCCAUGGGGGGAUCACAGAGGGGCCAUCAUCGCCAUGGAGGCCAUGGACCAGAGGGAGAACCUCUCCGCAUCUAGGGGGGAGGCCAUGAAGGAGGAUACACAAGGGGGAGAACCUCUCCUCCUCUCUCUUGGUGGCACCGGAGUGCCAUCGGGAGGGGAAUCAUCGCGACGGUGAUCAUCUUCAUCAACAUCACCAUCAUCAUCACCAUCCUCAUCUCUUUUACGCGGUCCACUCUCCCGCACCCCACUGUAAUCCCUACUUGAACAUGGUGCUUGAUGCCACAUACUAUGAUCCAAUGAUGUGUUGCCAUCCUAUGAUGUUUUCAGUAGAUUUCUUUUGUCUUUGGGUUGGUUGAUGAUCUAUAUUGCUAUGAGUUGUAUGUUUUUAUUUUGGUGUUGUCCUAUUGUGCCCUCCGUGUCACACAAGCGUGAGGGAUUCCCGCUGUAGGGUGUUGCAAUGCGUUCAUGUUUGCUUAUAGUGGGUUGCUUGAGUGACAGGAGCAUAAACCCAGGUAAGGGGGUUGUUGCGUAUGGGAUAAAGGGGACUUGAUAUGUUAAAUGCUAUGCUUGGGUUUUACCUUAAUGAUCUUUAGUAGUUGCAGAUGCUUGCUAGAGUUCCAAUCAUAAGAGCAUAUGAUCCAAGAAGAGAAAGUAUGUUAGCUUAUGCCUCUCCCUCAUAUGAAAUUGCAAUAGAUUACCGGUCUUGUUAACAAUUGCCUAGGAUAAUUCUGCACACUGACCCAUCAUUAUUCCACACUAGCUAUUUAUAUUAUUUAGUAAUAUAUUCUAACUUUAUGAUAACAGCAUCUACUUUUAUAUUUUAGCUCUCCGAUAUCAUGCAAAGUUAUAUUCUUCAUACCCACAAUGUAGUUUUAUUUCUCAUUCUAGUUGGAAGCAAACGUUCGGUGUACGUAGAGUCGUAUCAGUGGCAGAUAGGACUUGAGAGAAUACUGAUCUUACCUUUAGCUCCUUUUCGGUUUGACACUCCAUACUUAUCACUUCCACCUUUGGGAAUAGCUACGAUGAUUCCCUGCACUUGGGGAUUAUCAAGCUCUUUUCUAGCGUCGUUGCCGGGGAGCAAUAGCGUGGGGUUGAUAUUCUCGUGUAUGCUUGUUUUCUUUCUUCACUAAGUAGUUUUGAUUUUCCCUUUUUGUUUUGCUUAGUUGUGGGUGAAACAUACAAUUUUUAAAAAAAAA